rnacentral:lncRNA from 1 species
AUGCUCUUACCCGGGCCUGCAACCUCAUCAGUUGCAAUGUUUAUGGCUGUUGCAAUCUGGGGUUCCUCCACUGGGACCGUUUUGCCAUUGUACUCCAAGUAGAGCUCUAGCCCUUGCCUUGCAUGGUUCUGCAACCUGAUUAUAAGAGGUACCCUGGUGCAAAUGCCCUGGCUACGAGGAAGGUUAACACCAGCCAAGGAUUCAAGAACACUAGACUUGCCUGAUGACUGGUCUCCAACCACAACAAUUGUGGGGAGCUGUAUGCCUUCUUUCAUCACCAUGAGCAGCCUGAGCCUGUCGAUGACAUCAAGCAAAGGUCGGAUUUUGUCAUUGUAUGAUGAAAUAAUUGGGGCUUGGGCUGCUGCUGCUCCCACCACCUUAGGUUCUUCCAUAGGAGGAGUUGCUGGUUGAGAAUCUUCAUAAUCAUUGAUGACACCAAUGCUCCCUGAAUCAGCUUCAUCAUAGCUACCCAUUUUUUAGAAGUCGAGACAGGAUGGGAAUUGGCCAAACUUGAUGUUUUAGAUGGUUUUUUUUGUUGGAAGUUGGAAAGCAAUAAACUUGAACUAAAGUGAAGACAAAUUCAAUGAAGCAUGUUUGGCUUUAUAAUGAAAAUUAAAAUAGGGUAAAGCACCGAAAUUAGGAACAAUAAAGCGAUAGCAUCCUAUACCAAACCCCAAGAAACAAGCAAACGAAGCUACAAUGGGAAUGGAAAACUUUAUGUUAUACUUUGAAUUGUAGAAAAUAAUGAUACAAGGACAGAAGAGAGGAAACAGAACAAAAUCAAAUCGUGACCAACCAAAAGAUGAGUGUGUCGAUGACAGAAAGUUCGAAACAUAAACAGCCCCACAAGUUCCUACAGGAACUAGACAGCAGAACUAUAUGAAACAAUGUAUUCACAUUGAAGUUUCGGAUAGAUGCCACGUACAAGCCAUGUUGCCAUUACCUCAUAUGCUCUUUGUGUCAAAUGAGCUCCAUCCCAACUAAGCUGUUCAUUAGGGUUUUCGCAUACCGGUACUUUUGGAUCUCCGCACCAACUUGAUAAGCCAGAAUUGUAGUCUUCCCCAAUUCCGCAGCAAGCUUUUUGCAAUGAUGUUGGAUCAAAACCAGAUGAGAUUUUUCGAAAACUCAGAACAUGACUAGAACCAUUCACAGUACGAUCACAUAAACUUAUGGAUGCAAAUAAAUCAGACUUACCAAGCAGAUCAGCUUUGCUCAAAAGCCACAGGAAUGCAUUGUAGUAGUCACCGUAGACAACGAUUACAUCUGGAUGUUUUUCUUUUAGCUGAUCAGCAAUAGCUUGUUGAAGAAGAUGAUUAUGAUAGAUUGAAAAAAAGGCUUGACUUCGUCCCUUUCGUAUACCUACUCUAAGACAAAAAAAAAAUCAUUUUAUUAAUUAAGCUUUUUGUUUAUUAAUAAUUUGUUUUUUUUUCAAAUUCAUUAAAUACAAUUAAAAACAUUUGGAAGAAAAAUCUAAUGGUAGACUAGAUAUAGUUAAGAUAAUAUCUAACAGAGAGAUCGAUGUUCGAGUAUUUGUUGAAGUUCCUACGUAACUUUUAAUAAUUUUACAAACGGAUAGAGAUAAUAGUUUAUUCGAACAUUUAUUUUUAAUAGAGUGAAGAAACCCAAUUAUUUAAUUUAUGGGUAAACUACAUAAAGGGUAACACAAGUAUAAAAAGUUACAAAAUGUUCAUCUAACUAUUCAAUAUUGUUUUUUUAGAUCACCCGGCUAACGGUGGCUACUUUUAAAAUUUGAAUAAUAGAAAUUUAACCCUCAACACUUAUAUAUUGUAUCAAUUUAGUCUUGAUUCUAAAAAAAAAUUUAACUCUCAACAUUUACACAUUGUAUAAUUUGGUCUCUCUUUUUGUAAUUUUGCUUUUCUUUGUGACAUUUAGUGUUAAUUUUAAAAGAAUAAGAAAAGAAAAAAAAUAUUAUCUUAGAUUUCUGGGUGCUCCUAUUUUUUAUAUAUUUUUAAUCAAAUUUAACUGAUAAAUUUAUUUUUAACUUUUUAAGUGAAAGGGUAAAGAAAAACAAAGUUGUACUAGAAAAAAGAAGAUCAAACUACCCAAUGUAUAAAUGUUGAUAGUUAAUUAUUUCUGGAAUCAAGAUUAAAUUGACAUAAUUUAUAAAUAUUGAGGGUUAAAGUUGAUAUUAUGCGAAUAUUAAAAGUUGCCACCGAUGAUCAGUAACCAAAAAAGACAAAACUGAAUAACUUAGUGAUCAUUUUGUAACUCUUCAUAAAUUUUAGUACAAAAUUAAGUGAAUGUUAACGUGUUUGAGGCAAAUCUCGAUGAACAUGUCAUGCAACGCAUAGCUAAAGGGGUAGAUAAGAGCUUUAGACCUCUUUUAGUUAAAUGGUAUCAUUAUGAUUAUAGUGCCUCUUAAAUGUCAAUUGUUUAAUUUAGUUCCUUUCUAGCUUUUAUUUAAAUGGAACAAUUGUAAUUUAGACCCUUUUCAAAUGUUUAAAUUUAAUUUCAGUUAUUUUAACGUAAAAUAUUUUAGCUUUGUCCCCUAUUUUUUUAAUUUUAUCUUGGCUCUUCAUCACAUAAUUCAUGACUGACAUAUAUGCCAUAGGUCAUAAGAUUGAGUCAAACUAUGCAAAAACUCUUUAGUUUCACCUGUUUGAGCACUUCAAGGCGUUCUCACUCUCUAAACCCACCAAGGAUCUAGACAAAGUCGGGAGACAAAACUCCGACUGGGGACAAUACUGGACUUGCUUAUAUCUGCUUUAUAGUUGUAUUUGUAGCAUACAAUGUAUAUUUUGUCAAAUUUGAAUACUUCUUGUUUGCUUGUCUAUUAUUCUUUUGAUAGAAGAUACAACUUUCUUUAUUUGUAUGUCCAUAUAAUUUGUUACAUUCGAUCUGUGAACCAUAUUUGACCUUCAUAUUGUCAACCAUGCCACUUGUUCAAUGGAAAAUUACCUUUGUUGAUUUGUUCUUGGUUGACAUUAAGUUCAAGGUUCGAAUCAGGAAAACCAAUCUCUCUCCCCUUAUUAUAUUUAUGUAUAUACAUGUAUUUGACCUUCAUGUUUGUUGGUGAGAAAAUGGUACAGAGUAAAUUGAAUUUUGCUUUUUGUUUGGUGUGUUUCCUAGGGAAAGCUUUAUGGAAGCCAACAAGAAUGGAAAUUUGGUUGAUGUUGAUCGGAAGGCGUUCGAAACUUGGAAAAAAUGAGCGAGGAGGUAUAGGUCCCUUGCUCCUCCCACUUUGUCAUAACUUUUCAUUGGAAGUUUUCUGUUGUAAUUUUGUAUUGAGUAUCGUCCCGAGUAUUUUCUUUAAUAGGAGAGGAAACCAUAUGUUACUCAGCCUACAUGAAGGAUAUGACUGAAGCGGAUAAAAAUAUUGUAAAGGUAACUGGGAUUCAGAGUUUAUGGAUGCUAAUUUCGUAUAAUUUAAACUUUCUAGAGCGACCUAAAUAUGUUGUUGGUGUAAUUGGUGAAAUUGUUUGUUGUGCUUUCAUAGCAAUGCUGAUACAUUCUGAAUAUUUGAUCAUGGAACUUGUUCCGUAGAUUCUUAAUUCAGAACUAUGAAUAGGGGCAUACUAAGGCAUACUAAAGAUGCAUGAUUUUGAACUCAUGAUCCUCUCAUCUUUACAUAAUCUAUGUUGCCACUCGGUUUUCUCCCUAUCGUUGUCAAUUAUUGUCAUCACAAUUGCUUUUCAAUGAUUUUUUCAGUUAGAAUUAGUAUCUUUUCCUUGUUUUGUCCACAAAAGCAAGAAUGAUAUAUGAUAGCUGUGAUUUAUCUGACAAUUAGCUUCUCUAAAUCUUUCACCCUAAUCAAUUGUCAAAAAUUUGCUGUUCUAGUGCUUAUUGGCUUCUCGUUUUUAACUUGAAAGUUAACUUAUCUAUUGUUCAAACAUCAAAAUGGAACAAAGUUUUGCAUCAUAUUCGAAGUUAUUAAUGAGUUAUUUUCUUUAGGUGGAUGAUGAGGCUGAUUCAGCAAUGGUUGGGAAAUUUGAUGAGGUUUGUAUAUAUGUUUGGAGCACAAAAAACAUAGCAAAUAUAGAUAAAUUUACGUAUUGUAUAUCUACUUGUGCUUAAACUAAGUCAUUCCCCUGCCAGUUGAGGCUCUGAAACCUUUGGGCACUGAAGUUCGAGUUUCACUAUGUAAAUCAUGUGUUGGUUCUCCCCCAGAUUUAUUUUGUUUACUUAGUUAGAGUUGAGUUAGCUUCAGUGAAUGUAACGAUUGAUUAUGUUAGUUCCCCCCUCUUUUGCCACCUCUUCUUCGUUGAAUUUACAGUUCUAUGAAGAUUAUGGGUACUAUGAAACAUCUGAUGAUGAUGGUGAACCAUACCACUCUGGAGGAUUCAAGAGCUUAAACACAACUGAACAGUAAUCGAAGUCUUCCCCACAUUUCAGUUCAAUUACCUAACUUAACCGCAAUCAUAUAUUGUGCACAAGACCGAUAAGUUAUGGCUUUCAUGAAGCAGGGAAACUGCUAUCGAGGGCGGAACUUGAAGAUGUUCUGGUUUUUGUUUCAUGUCAAUGGACCUUAUCCAACUGGCAAUGGUGGAAAAAAAAAGUUUGCCAUUUUGAUUCAUUUGUUAAGGCAAAUCAUUUGGCUAUUGUAAAGUAGUUAUAGGGGUUUUAGCCUUCGAAGCAGAUUGGUAUUUGUUUUGCUAUUUGGCAGUGGCAGUGGCAAUGGCAAUGGGGGUUUCACAGGUGAGUGGCAAGGGCUAUAGAGGAAGCAUCAUUUUGUCUAUAUUUUUUUAGUUUUAUGGAAUUUGGUUGAUGGAAUAGGUGAUAUGUUGGGUUGGAUAAAAUAAUCUAUAUUUUAUUGAAGUUAUGUUUGUUUUUAUCUGUUAGAAAAUUGAAGAAUGAUAUUAGAAAAUAUUUAGUCAAAUAAUUUGUAUUAAUAAUAGUUAAUUAUGCCUUUGUGGCUAAGCUCAUGGAAAUCAUUUAAAAAUAAAAUCUAAUAAAUAAUUAAACAUAUGAUUUAAAAUUAAUAAUAAUAACAAAGUAAUAUGUACGAAAUUUAAAUAGGUAAAUACAUUUGAUUAAGCUUUAUGUUCUGUUCUAAAUUUGGUUUCUUAAUACUUCUUCUGAAUAAGUUGGUGUCGAGUUGAUUCAUGAUACCAAUUUAGUCACAUGGUUAAAUAACUAUAUAGAUACAAAAGUUAAAUAUUUAAGAUGAUUGAUGCCUUCUGAACAUAACACCAUUUAAAUUUAUAUAAAUGUAUGAAAAUACGAAAAAUACUCAAUAACAAUAUUUAUUAAUAAUUUAAAUUUUGAUUUUUUUUAGUUUUCUUUUAUUCAAUUGGUGUCAAGUUAAAUCGUGACGCUGAUUCAGUUACAAUAUAUAGAAUAUGACGUGAGUGACAGACCAAUUUUAUUUAAAAUUUUAAUAUAAAAUAACAAUAAAGGUUUGAUUGAAACGGAAAAAUUAAAGAUUUAAGUUGCUUGAUGUCUUAUGUAAAGGUUUAAAUCGCAUCAUUUGCUUAUUUCCUUAAGUUUAAGUUGUUCCUUAUAACUUUUAUAAAAAUGUGUGAAAAUACAAAAACACCCUAUGAUAAUGUUUAUUAAUUGUUUAAAAUUUGAGUUUUUAGUACUUCUCUAAUUAAAUUAGUGUCGAGUUGAUUCGUAACAUCAACUCAAUCACACUUAAAUUAAAGUUUCCAUACAUAGAACACCAGGUGGGUGAGAGUGAUAGACGAGAUUUAUGAAAAAAAUUCAUGUAAAAUAACAAUGAAGUUUCGGUUAAAAUAAUAAAUUUAAUUUGUAAUAUUUAUAAUGAUAAAUUUACACAGAAUACUUGCCAUUUGCAUAUUUUUUAUAAGUUUAUUUUAUUUUUUAAAAUAAAGUUUAUAUAAAGGUAUGAAAUGCAAAACUACCUUAUAAUAAUAUUUAUUAAUCGUUAAAAUUUUGAUUUUUUUAAUACUUUGUCUAAUCGAGUUGGUGUCGAGUUAGUCAAUGAUAUAAUUUAGACAUAUAAUUAGACAACAGUGUAAAAGUGUAGAUACAUAGAUCACAAUGCGCGUGAUAAGCAAAUUUUAUGUAAAAAAAAACUCAUAUAAAUAUUAUAUUAAUAGAUGAGAACAUCUGUAUUUAAUAAUUAGACAACAGUGUAAAAAUGUAGACACAUAGAUUACAAUGGGCGUGAUAAGCAAAUUUUAUGUAAAAAAACUCAUAUAAAUAUUAUAUUAAUAGAUGAGAACAUCAGUAUUUAAAAAAAAAAAUCCAGAAAGCUGAUUGCAUACCAAGGCUUGGAACAUGGCAAUCAUGGUACACAAAAAAGCCAAAAAAAAUUUAGCAAUAAGAUUUCAUAAAGAUAUAAAUUGUUUACAACAGUAAAUUAACACAAGAAAAUAAAAAUAAAACAAAGUAGAAAACUAACCCCCACCCCCAAUUUGCCGUCCACAGUAGUUGUGACCUUAUUAUAUAAUCUUCAAUCCUUAAUAAUCUAUACUAUAUAUAUAGAACACAGACACUUAAAACAUGCAAUAAGCAAACCAUGAUAAUGACCCAAAUUUUAUGUGAAAAUAUUAAACCAAGCAAGCAUCAUAAGCAACAAUCCCAUCCAUGAUCUUGGCCACACUAUCUUUGGACUCCUUUAACACCUUGAUGCUGUUUUUAAGCUUCUCACGCUUUGCAACAAUGGCAGGAGAUUCCACCAGCAUCAUCUUUAUCCCAUGUCCAUCUGGUCCCAUCAGCUCCUUCACAAUCUCAUCAAUGUCAUUGUGUACAAGAUUAUGAACAUGGUAUCGUAAAUGCAAUGCCAUGGAAUCAACCAAUCUCACCUUAAAUACCUUCCAAUAAGCAACCAUUCUCAUCUUCAGGUCGAAAGCUUGUUGCAGGAUCGAAACAUCCGAGUGUUUUCUGAGAUGUUCGAUUUGGAUUUCCCCUAAACCUUCGAGAUCCACACUGCAAGGCAGCGGCCGCAUGUUUGUUCCAGAUAUUUGGUUCAUGAAAUGGUCUUGUUGCUUCAUGAGCUUAUUCCACUCCAUCAUGUAAUCAGGGUUACAUGUGUAGCCUGUUAGCUUCUCCAUUUCUACAAUCUCUUUCACCCUAUUGAUUGAUUGCUCCCUCAGCUUUUGAACAAGGUUGUGAGCAGCUCCUUUUGCGGAUACCUUGAGGUGAUAAUACAUUUCCGAGUGGCGCGUCAAAACAGACAUCACCACAUCGUCUAUGUAAUCCCAAUACUUUUCGCUGAGUUUGAUAGGGAGAUACGAUAUCCUCUCGACUUUUCUCCGUAAGAUACGAAGGAAUGCUUCACAGGGAAGGAAGUUCGGUAGUUCGAUCCCCCUAGCAUCUUCCAAACCCUUGAUCUCUUCUGUUAAAAAGUCUUUUGAUAGAUUACUUUCCUCGCAGUUGUGAAGCUCAUCGGAGAACCGGUUCAGCAUUUCAACAAACCGAGCAGUCCCGUGCUUCGUGUUGUCCUCGGGGUAUUCAUCAAAUUCCCCCCUCCAAAGAAGUUUCUUCAGGGAUUCUUUAGCUGCUUGAAUGAUCCUCAUCAUAGCUUGAGUGGCAUCAGCAAUAGAAGUUAAGGCCUUUGGCAUUUUCUCUAGCUCUGAAACAUUUGCAUCCAGCUUUGCACUAAUGUUUUUAACAAUCUCUGGCAAGCACUUUGCAAUCGCAUUAGCUUGAAUUCGGACAAGAUUUUGAGCCAAAACAUGAACCCCCACAAUUGAUUUAUCAAUACGUGACAAAUGUGCAUUAGUUUCGAACAAUCUAGCCUCUUCCUUCCUUGCCUCUUCAUAGGAUUCAUCACCAAUCCGAUUCCGAACACAAACAUAACCAAGUCCUAUAUUCACAUCAUCUGCAGUAACCUUGUCAACAAGCCCUUCGGGGGCCCUAUCUACUUUAGUAACCACGGCAAGAGUUCUCUCACCAUUCUUGUCCACUUGUUGCGACAUCCUAAUGGAUUCACAAGUUGAAAAAUCAACCGUAGCCGACAGAACAUUAAGGAUAAUGCUUUCCUUUGGUGUUAUGUACUGCAUGAUGAUGUCCCGGAUCUGCUCAUAUAUGUUGUCGGGCUGACCAUGGACAGGAACUCUGGUAAUUCCAGGAAGAUCAACCAUGGUAAGAUCAGGAACCCCAUCUUUUCUCACCACCAAAGUCAAAGGGAUGUCAGAUAUGCUCUUACCCGGGCCUGCAACCUCAUCCGUUGCAAUGUUUAUGGCUGUUGCAAUCUGGGGUUCCUCCACUGGGACCGUUUUGCCAUUGUACUCCAAGUAGAGCUCUGGCCUUGGACUUGCAUGGUUCUGCAACCUGAUUAUGAGAGGUACCCUGGUGCAAAUGCCCUGGCUACGAGGAAGGUUAACACCAGCCAAGGAUUCAAGAACACUAGACUUGCCUGAUGACUGGUCUCCAACCACAACAAUUGUGGGGAGCUGUAUGCCUUCUUUCAUCACCAUGAGCAGCCUGAGCCUGUCGAUGACGUCAAGCAAAGGUCGGAUUUUGUCAUUGUAUGAUGAAAUAAUUGGGGCUUGAACUGCUGCUGCUCCCACCACCUUAGGUUCUUCCAUAGAAGGAGUUGCUGGUUGAGAAUCUUCAUAAUCAUUGAUGACACCAAUGGUCCCUGAAUCAGCUUCAUCAUAGCUUCCCAUUUUCUAGAAGUCGAGACAGGACGGGAAUUGGCCAAACUUGAUGUUUUAGAUGGUUUUUUUUGUUGGAAGUUGGAAAGCAAUAAACUUGAACUAAAGUGAAGACAAAUUCAAUGAAGCAUGUUUGGCUUUAUAAUGAAAAUUAAAAUAGGGUAAAGCACCAAAAAUAGGAACAAUAAAGCGAUAUCAUCCGAUACGAUUACAUCUGGAAGUUUUUCUUUUAGCUCAGCAAUAGCUUGUUGAAGAAGUUGAUUAUGAUAGAUUUAAAAAUUAUUCAACUCCUUUAAAAUUAUAUAAUUUAAUUUUGGCCUAAAAAAAAAAAAGUCUUGACUUCGUCCCUUUCGUAUACCGACUCUAAGACAAAAAAAAUCAUUUUAUUAAUUAAGCUUUUUUGUUUAUUAAUAAUUUGUUUUUUUCAAAUUCAUUAAAUACAAUUAAAAAUAUUUGAAAGAAAAAUCUAGUCGUAGAUCAGAUAAUUAAAAUAAUAUCUAGCAGAGAGGUCGAUGUUCGAGUAUUUGUUAAAAUUCUUAGGUAACUAGAGGUAAUAAUUUAUUUGAUCAUUUAUUUUUAAUAGAGUGAGGAAACUCAAUUAUCUCUAUUUUUAAUAGAGCGAUUUUUGUUUUUACAUGAAGAAUUUCGUGGAAUUUUGUAUCGUGGAAAAUGGAAAUCAAUGGAAAAGGACGAUAAGGCUGGGUUUGUCUGUCGUACGGCCUGCCUUUGUCUGAAACUUGCUUACGAAGGAGUUAGUGGGGUUAUCCGCUGUGCUCAAUCUUAAAAAACAAUAUUUAACACCUGCAUUUUCCACUUAUCUCAGUGAUAAUGCGAUAAUUGGAAAAUUUUACAAAUUUACAAAAAAAAAAUAUAAAUAAAAUUAUAAAAAGUAUACAUAAUUUUGAAAAUAAAUGAUCAUUGGCUUCAUUUUGAUAUUUUAACCUUUAAUCAUUUUAUUUUAUAUAAAAAAAUUAAACUGAUAAAAAAUUGAUUUCAAAUUAUUUUUAUUUUUAUUUUCCAAUUUUUAGUGUAAAUAUUGAUUUUUGUGUAAUUUUUUGUACUUCAAUUGUUAAAGUAUGUAGUUUGAUACAUAAUUAUUGUUGUUAAUUUAUGAUUGCUAUGAAUGGGAUGCAUUGGGUUUGAAAUAUUUUAAGUAAAUUAUCAAAUUUUAUAACAUUAGUUAAAAUUAAAAGAAUAUAUAUUUACUCUCUUUUUUUUCUUUGGAUCUUGCUUUGUGGAUUAGAUAACAAAUAUUGGUGUUUGAUUAUGUUUGAUAAUAUCUACUUUUUUUUAUACAAUUUCUAGAAGUACUUGUAGCCCCUCUUAAGCCAUAAGUAGAAGGUUAAUAUGCUUCAGCGCACAAAAACUUACAUGUCUUCCUGCAUUGGCAAUUGAGUUUGUAAUAGCCAAUUUUUGCCCGACCCACUAAGAAAACAAACAAUAAAACAAACAAAAAAAUAAAGUCCCAAAAUUACAACAAACAAAACCAGGCCUAAAAUUAAACAAACCCAACAGGCCCAAAAAUUUUAAAAAAAAACUUAGCCCAAACAGCAUUAACAUUUGCAGCAGAAAGGAGCAAACCCUAGCCCCCAAGCCUCCAGCGCCGCAAGAACCAAGCUCCCUCACGCACACCACCACCGCUGCUAGCCAAUCGUUGGCCUUCCACGCGCGUCAGACCUCUUGCAAAGAGAAAUCAAUGCAAGACGGUAGAAACAAUAACAAAACGACAAAAAAAUAUAACUUAUGAGUCUUGUAACUUGGCUAUAAAAGCCGAAGUAUCCUCUUUGUAACUUUUUUACACACACUAGAAAUCAAAAGCCGAAUAGAAAUCUUAAAAGGUUGACCCUUUACUAUUUCUACUACGUUUUCUUGUUUUUCUUUUCUUUUCUUUAUCUAUUUUCUUUUAUUUUAUUUUUUACAAAUCCAUUUUAAAUAAUUAUAAUAAAAAUCAAAAUAAAGAAAAGGAAAGGAAAACCUUACCUGGAACCGCCGCGUGGCCCUGUUGACGGAGGUCCCUUUGCCGUCGUCGGAGUCGAGCUAAAAGGGGUGGUUAGAUUCCUCCUUUUUCUUUCGGCCUCUCAUCACCGGUACCGUCCACCGGACUUAAAAGGGGGUUAAAAGCCCCGUCUUUCGCCACUGCCCGUCGACCAUGGCGGCGGCGCUCUCUGCUAAUCAGAGAAAGUGAGGGGAGAGUAGAGAAAAUGAGAGUUUUAGGGUUUUUUUUAAGUUUAAAAAAAAUUGAUUUUAUAAGACAUUGAAAAGGCGUCGUUUCAGCAGGCCUCCCCAGGCGCCAAAACAGUGUCGUUUUGGGGAGGCCAACCUGUGACCCGACCUGCAGCCCACAGGAUCCGAGUGUUUUUGCAGUGAAUGGGAAAAUUGUGCGCGAGGUCCCUCCAUCUUGUGCCUGAAGUGCAAUUUGACUCUUUUUAUUUUUUUUGAUUUGGGCCGCGAAUUUUGUGUCUAUUUCAAUCUACCCUUUUGGCCAUAUGCGGUCUUUUGCAUUGAAACGCUGCGCUCUAGGACUGGGGCAUAUUGCACGAUCAGUCCUCCAGCCUUUAAGCGCAUUCAAUUUCAGCCCCCAUAGCAACCUGUUUUAUUUAUUUGCAAUUUAUACCCGAAUUUCGUUUCAAUUUCAAUUCGAUCCUUAGUCAUUUAGUUAUUUAUUUUUUAAAAUAAAAGGGGGCUGUUUUAUUUGAUUUUUUUUUUACUUAUUUAGUAGAUUUCAACCCUUUUUAAGUCAGAUUUAUAUUAGUUUAUUUAUUUACUUGCUUCUUAUUUUCCUUUUAGGUUGGCUUGUUAUUUUACUUUUUGCCCUUCUUCUUCUUCUUCUUCUUCUUCUUCUUCUUCUUCUUCUUCUUCUUCUUCUUCUUCUUCUUCUUCUUCUUCUUAUUAUUAUUAUUAUUAUUAUUAUUAUUAUUAUUAUUAUUAUUAUUAUUAUUGUUGUUGUUGUGGUUAUUAUUAUUAUUAUUAUUAUUAUUAUUGUUGUUGUUGUGGUUAUUAUUAUUAUUAUUAUUAUUAUUAUUAUUAUUACUACUGGCACCAUUCUCAUUAUUGUUUAUGCUUGUUAACUUUAUGAUUCGUUAACAUUAGUGUUAGGUAUGUUACAUUUUAUUAUGAACAUUACGUCAUGGUUAUUUAAAAUGAAUGUUGUACUAUCAUAUUUAGCCAUGUAUAACUCCUUUUACGUAUUAAACGAUUUCUAUAAAAAAUAAUAAAUUAAACGUACAUUUUUAUCCAAUUCAAAAAUUUCAAAAUAAGGUAAUAUUUAGCGUUUGAAAAUUUGAGAAAACGUGCCCUAACGUGCUGGGUUUCGAUUUUUCGUUCGACCAAAUCACUAAAUAUUCUCUUAAAUUUUCAAAGUACAGGUUUUGGGAACUAUAAGGUAAUCUUGGUUUCGAGGAUUAAAAUAUUGUAUCCUAACGUGUUGGAUGUAAUAUUCCUUCAAAACAAGAGAAUUCUAAAUUUCAACCCUUGUUAUUCGAGUUUUAUUUUUGGAUCGUAUUUUAAAAAAAAACUCCUCAAAGUUUUCAAUCUUCGACAUUUAGACAUCUAUUAAUUGAUUAGGUACCAAUUUUUGGGCGCAUUGAGGGUGCUAACCCUUCCUCCUGCGUAAUCGACUCCCGGACCCGAUUUCUUAAAAUAUCGUAAACCAAAAUCAUUGUUUUGAUAAAAUCGAAUUUUUUUGUUAAAACAACUAUUACGAGGUGAUCCGAUCACAUCUAAACAAAAAGGACCGGUGGCGACUCCAUUUUCGUUUUCACAAUUUAAAUCGACCCUAUUUUCAAAAAAAUAGUUUCGACAAUGUUUGUUUUUAUCUGUUAGAAAAUUCUAUUAAUAUAUUGAAGAAUGAUAUUACAGAAUAUUUAGUAAAAUAAUUUGUAUUAAUAAUAGUUAAUUAUGCCUUUGUGGCUAAGCUCAUGGAAAUCAUUUAAAAAUAAAAUCUAAUAAAUAAUUAAACAUAUGAUUUAAAAUUAAUAAUAAUAACAAAGUAAUAUGUAUGGAAUUUAAAUAGCUAAAUACAUUUGAUUAAGAUUUAUGUUUUGUUCUAAAUUUGGUUUCUUAAUACUUCUUCUGAAUAAGUUGGUAUUGAGUUGAUUCAUGAUACCAAUUUAGUCGCAUGGUUAAAUAACUAUAUAGGUAAAAAGUUAAAUAUUUAAGAUGAUCGAUGCCUUGUGAAAAUAACACCAUUUAAAUUUAUAUAAAUGCAUGAAAAUUACAAAAAAUACUCAAUAACAAUAUUUAUUAAUAAUUUAAAUUUUGAUUUUUUUAGUUUUCUUUUAUUCAAUUGGUGUCAAGUUAAAUCGUGACACUAACUCAGUCAGUCACACACUUAAAAAAUAAUAUAAAUACAUAGAAUAUGACGUGAGUGAUAGACCAAUUUUAUGUAAAAUUUUAAUAUAAAAUAACAAUAAAGGUUUGAUUGAAACGGAAAAAUUAAAUAUUUAAGUUGCUUGAUGUCUUAUGCAAAGGUUUAAAUCGCAUCAUUUGCUUAUUUCCCUAAGUUUAAGUUGUUCCUUAUAACUUUUAUAAAAAUGUGUGAAAAUACAAAAACACCCUAUGAUAAUGUUUAUUAAUUGUUUAAAAUUUGAGUUUUUAGUACUUUCUCUAAUUAAAUUAGUGUCGAGUUGAUUCGUAACAUCAACUCAAUCACACUUAAAUUAAAGUUUAGAUGCAUAGAACACCAGGUGAGUGAGAGUGAUAGACGUGAUUUAUGAAAAAAUUUCAUGUAAAAUAACAAUAAAGUUUUGGUUAAAAUAAUAAAUUUAAUUUGUAAUAUUUAAAAUGAUAAAUUUACACAUAGAAUACUUGCCAUUUGCAUAUUUUUCAUAAGUUUAUUUUAUUUUUUAAAAUAAAUUUUAUAUAAAGGUAUGAAAUGCAAAAGCACCUUCUAAUAACAUUUAUUAAUCGUUAAAAUUUUGAUUUUUUAAGUACUUUGCCUAAUCGAGUUGGUGUCGAGUUAGUCCAUGAUAUAACUGAUAUGAGCCAAGGAGGUGACACUCAAGGGGUUAUUUUUCCUUGUGGUCCAAUCACUCGAAGCAGGGCACGACAAUUAAAAUAAAAAAUGAAUGCUUUUGUCCAAGACUUUGUUGCUACAAAUUUAAGUCUUCAUGUUCGUGAGUUGACAAAUACGGGAAUGCAAUUCACUGGACCAAUCUUGGAAUAGUGAAAGCCCAUAAAUUGGUGGAUUAAUCUUUUAUGUAUCUUAUUAUUAUUAUUUAACUAAAACUUAUGAUAUUUUACAUGAGCAUUUUUAUUGGCCUAACAUGCGAAAACUUGUUGAGAAAAUUUGCUCUACUUGCAUUACAUGUAAACAAGCUAAAUCCACCGUGAUGCCUCAUGGUCUAUAUACUCCUCUUCCUAUUCCUAGUUCACAUUGGACUGACAUUUCAAUGGAUUUUGUAAUAGGUCUACCAAGGACAAAGCGUGGACGAGAUAGCAUCUUUGUGGUUGUGGAUCGAUUUUCUAAAAUGGCUCAUUUCAUUCCAUGCCACAAGACUGAUGAUGCAACCCAUGUUGCCGAUCUAUUUUUUCGUGAAGUUGUGAGAUUACAUGGAAUCCCAAGGACUAUCGUUUCCGAUAGAGAUGCAAAAUUUCUUAGUCACUUUUGGAAGGUGUUAUGGGGUAAGUUAGGUACUAAACUACUUUACUCUACUACAUGCCACCCUCAAACUGAUGGUCAAACCGAGGUGGUAAAUCGAGUUUUGGGAUCUUUGCUUAGAGCCAUAAUAGGUAAGAAUGUUAAAUCUUGGGAAGAAUGGAUACCCUAUGUUGAGUUUGCUUAUAAUCGUGCUGUUCAUUCUUCCACAGGUUUUACUCCUUUUGAGAUUGUAUAUGGCUUUAAUCCACUUACUGUUUUAGAUUUGCUUCCUUUACCUUUAAAUGAGAUUGCUAAUUUAGAUGGUGAAAGGAAAGCUGAUUUAGUGAAAGAGAUCCAUGAGAAGGCUCGUAAAGCCAUUGAGAAAAAGAAUGAGUCCAAUGCACAUCGAGCUAAUAAAGGGCGAAAGCAAGUCUUGUUUGAACCUGGAGAUUGGGUAUGGGUGCAUAUGAGGAAGGAACGAUUUCCUUCUAAGAGAAAGAAUAAACUUGAUGCACGAGGAGAUGGACCAUUCCAAGUACUCGAGAAAAUAAAUGACAAUGCUUAUCGCAUUGAUCUUCCUGGUGAGUAUAGUGUUAGUGCUACUUUCAAUGUUUCUGAUCUUUCUCCUUUUGAAUUUGAUGUAGGUUCAGAUUCAAGGACGAAUCUUCUUGAAGAGGGGGAGAAUGAUAUGAGCCAAGGAGGUGACACUCAAGGGGUUAUUUUUCCUUGUGGUCCAAUCACUCGAAGCAAGGCACGACAAUUAAAAUAAAAAAUGAAUGCUUUUGUCCAAGACUUUGUUGCUACAAAUUUAAGUCUUCAUGUUCGACGUUGACAAAUACGGGAAUGCAAUUCACUGGACCAAUUUUGAAAUAGUGAAAGCCCAUAAAUUGGUGGAUUAAUCUUUUAUGUAUCUUAUUAUUAUUAUUUAGUUAAUUUUAUUGGAUUAUUAUUUAUUUAUUUUCUUAUAUAAUUUUAAAGAAAUUUAUUAGGAUUCAAUUACUAUUGAAAGAGUUUUAUUAGGAUUCAAUUACACUUGUAAUUUGCCUAUAAAUAGGCUUACUUUCUACACAUUGAAGACAGAAUGAAAAAAGAGAUAAUUUAUUUUCUUCCAAAUUUGUGUGAGGCAAAUUUUUGUGAGUAGAGUGAUUCUUCUCUUGCUAUUUAGUUUGGAGUCUGUUACUUUCGAGGGUAUUUCGGAGUUACAAAUAUUCAAAUUUCUUUCCCGUUCAUCGGUGUUUCUAGAGGUUCUUCUUCUAGGGGUUUCGUAGGGAGCCGCUCAAUCAUUGGCGUUUUUGGUUACAAGUUAACCAAGGGUUCCAUAAGGCAAAUCUAUCAUUUUUAUUAUUUAUUUAUUAUUAUUUUAACUAAUUUUAUUUAUUCUCGUUUUAUUUCUAAUGUUUCUCUUGUGUCUAGAUCCAGGAUUCCGCAUCAAUAACUUAGACACAUAAUUAGACAACAGUGUAAAAGUGUAGAUACAUAAAUCACAAUAAGCGUGAUAAGUAAAUUGUAUGUAAAAAAACUCAUAUAAAUAUUAUAUUAAUAGAUGAGAACAUCUGUAUUUAAAAAAAAAUCCAGAAAGAUGAUUGCAUACCAAGGCUUGGAACAUUGCAAUCUUGGUACACAAAAAAGCAAAAAAAAAUUAAGCAAUAAGAUUUCAUAGAGCUAUAAAAUGUAUACAACAGUAAAUUAACACAAAAAAAAAAAACAAAGUAGAAAACUAACCCCCACCCCCCCAAUUUGCCGUCCACAGUAGUUGUGACCUUAUUAUAUAAUCUUCAAUUCUUAAUAAUCUAUACUAUAUAUGUAUAGAACACAGACACUUAAAACAUGCAAUAAGCAAACCAUGAUGAUGACCCAAAUUUUAUGUGAAAAUAUUAAACCAAGCAAGCAUCAUAAGCAACAAUCCUAUCCAUGAUCUUGGCCACACUAUCUUUGGACUCCUUUAACACCUUGAUGCUGUUUUUAAGCUUCUCACGCUUUGCAACAAUGGCAGGAGAUUCCACCAGCAUCAUCUUUAUCCCAUGUCCAUCUGGUCCCAUCAGCUCCUUCACAAUCUCAUCAAUGUCAUUGUGUACAAGAUUAUGAACAUGGUAUCGUAAAUGCAAUGCCAUGGAAUCAACCAAUCUCACCUUAAAUACCUUCCAAUAAGCAACCAUUCUCAUCUUCAGGUCGAAAGCUUGUUGCAGGAUCGAAACAUCCGAGUGUUUUCUAAGAUGUUCGAUUUGGAUUUCCCCUAAACCUUGGAGAUCCACACUGCAAGGCAGCGGCCGCAUGUUUGUUCCAGAUAUUUGGUUUAUGAAAUGGUCUUGUUGCUUCAUGAGCUUAUUCCACUCCAUCAUGUAAUCAGGGUUACAUGUAUAGCCUGUUAGCUUCUCCAUUUCUACAAUCUCUUUCACCCUAUUGAUUGAUUGCUCCCUCAGCUUUUGAACAAGGUUGUGAGCAGCUCCUUUCGCGGAUACCUUGAGGUGAUAAUACAUUUCCGAGUGGCGCGUCAAAACAGACAUCACCACAUCGUCUAUGUAAUCCCAAUACUUUUCGCUGAGUUUGAUAGGGAGAUACGAUAUCCUCUCGACUUUUCUCCGUAAGAUACGAAGGACUGCUUCACAGGGAAGGAAGUUCGGUAGUUCGAUCCCCCUAGCAUCUUCCAAACCCUUGAUCUCUUCUGUUAAAAAGUCUUUUGAUAGAUUACUUUCCUCGCAGUUGUGAAGCUCAUCGGAGAACCGGUUCAGCAUUUCAACAAACCGAGCAGUCCCGUGCUUCGUGUUGUCCUCGGGGUAUUCAUCAAAUUCCCCCCUCCAAAGAAGUUUCUUCAGGGAUUCUUUAGCUGCUUGAAUGAUCCUCAUCAUAGCUUGAGUGGCAUCAGCAAUAGAAGUUAAGGCCUUUGGCAUUUUCUCUAGCUCUGAAACAUUUGCAUCCAGCUUUGCACUAAUGUUUUUAACAAUCUCUGGCAAGCACUUUGCAAUUGCAUUAGCUUGAAUUCGGACAAGCUUUUGAGCCAAAACAUGAACACCCACAAUUGAUUUAUCAAUACGUGACAAAUGUGCAUUAGUUUCGAACAAUCUAGCCUCUUCCUUCCUUGCUUCUUCAUAGGAUUCAUCACCAAUCCGAUUCCGAACACAAACAUAACCAAGUCCUAUAUUCACAUCAUCUGCAGUAACCUUGUCAACAAGCCCUUCGGGGGCCCUAUCUACUUUAGUAACCACGGCAAGAGUUCUCUCACCAUUCUUGUCCACUUGUUGCGACAUCCUAAUGGAUUCACAAGUUGAAAAAUCAACCGUAGCCGACAGAACAUUAAGGAUAAUGCUUUCCUUUGGUGUUAUGUACUGCAUGAUGAUGUCCCGGAUCUGCUCAUAUAUGUUGUCGGGCUGACCAUGGACAGGAACUCUGGUAAUUCCAGGAAGAUCAACCAUGGUAAGAUCAGGAACCCCAUCUUUUCUCACCACCAAAGUCAAAGGGAUGUCAGAUAUGCUCUUACCCGGGCCUGCAACCUCAUCAGUUGCAAUGUUUAUGGCUGUUGCAAUCUGGGGUUCCUCCACUGGGACCGUUUUGCCAUUGUACUCCAAGUAGAGCUCUAGCCCUUGCCUUGCAUGGUUCUGCAACCUGAUUAUAAGAGGUACCCUGGUGCAAAUGCCCUGGCUACGAGGAAGGUUAACACCAGCCAAGGAUUCAAGAACACUAGACUUGCCUGAUGACUGGUCUCCAACCACAACAAUUGUGGGGAGCUGUAUGCCUUCUUUCAUCACCAUGAGCAGCCUGAGCCUGUCGAUGACAUCAAGCAAAGGUCGGAUUUUGUCAUUGUAUGAUGAAAUAAUUGGGGCUUGGGCUGCUGCUGCUCCCACCACCUUAGGUUCUUCCAUAGGAGGAGUUGCUGGUUGAGAAUCUUCAUAAUCAUUGAUGACACCAAUGCUCCCUGAAUCAGCUUCAUCAUAGCUACCCAUUUUUUAGAAGUCGAGACAGGAUGGGAAUUGGCCAAACUUGAUGUUUUAGAUGGUUUUUUUUGUUGGAAGUUGGAAAGCAAUAAACUUGAACUAAAGUGAAGACAAAUUCAAUGAAGCAUGUUUGGCUUUAUAAUGAAAAUUAAAAUAGGGUAAAGCACCGAAAUUAGGAACAAUAAAGCGAUAGCAUCCUAUACCAAACCCCAAGAAACAAGCAAACGAAGCUACAAUGGGAAUGGAAAACUUUAUGUUAUACUUUGAAUUGUAGAAAAUAAUGAUACAAGGACAGAAGAGAGGAAACAGAACAAAAUCAAAUCGUGACCAACCAAAAGAUGAGUGUGUCGAUGACAGAAAGUUCGAAACAUAAACAGCCCCACAAGUUCCUACAGGAACUAGACAGCAGAACUAUAUGAAACAAUGUAUUCACAUUGAAGUUUCGGAUAGAUGCCACGUACAAGCCAUGUUGCCAUUACCUCAUAUGCUCUUUGUGUCAAAUGAGCUCCAUCCCAACUAAGCUGUUCAUUAGGGUUUUCGCAUACCGGUACUUUUGGAUCUCCGCACCAACUUGAUAAGCCAGAAUUGUAGUCUUCCCCAAUUCCGCAGCAAGCUUUUUGCAAUGAUGUUGGAUCAAAACCAGAUGAGAUUUUUCGAAAACUCAGAACAUGACUAGAACCAUUCACAGUACGAUCACAUAAACUUAUGGAUGCAAAUAAAUCAGACUUACCAAGCAGAUCAGCUUUGCUCAAAAGCCACAGGAAUGCAUUGUAGUAGUCACCGUAGACAACGAUUACAUCUGGAUGUUUUUCUUUUAGCUGAUCAGCAAUAGCUUGUUGAAGAAGAUGAUUAUGAUAGAUUGAAAAAAAGGCUUGACUUCGUCCCUUUCGUAUACCUACUCUAAGACAAAAAAAAAUCAUUUUAUUAAUUAAGCUUUUUGUUUAUUAAUAAUUUGUUUUUUUUUCAAAUUCAUUAAAUACAAUUAAAAACAUUUGGAAGAAAAAUCUAAUGGUAGACUAGAUAUAGUUAAGAUAAUAUCUAACAGAGAGAUCGAUGUUCGAGUAUUUGUUGAAGUUCCUACGUAACUUUUAAUAAUUUUACAAACGGAUAGAGAUAAUAGUUUAUUCGAACAUUUAUUUUUAAUAGAGUGAAGAAACCCAAUUAUUUAAUUUAUGGGUAAACUACAUAAAGGGUAACACAAGUAUAAAAAGUUACAAAAUGUUCAUCUAACUAUUCAAUAUUGUUUUUUUAGAUCACCCGGCUAACGGUGGCUACUUUUAAAAUUUGAAUAAUAGAAAUUUAACCCUCAACACUUAUAUAUUGUAUCAAUUUAGUCUUGAUUCUAAAAAAAAAAUUUAACUCUCAACAUUUACACAUUGUAUAAUUUGGUCUCUCUUUUUGUAAUUUUGCUUUUCUUUGUGACAUUUAGUGUUAAUUUUAAAAGAAUAAGAAAAGAAAAAAAAUAUUAUCUUAGAUUUCUGGGUGCUCCUAUUUUUUAUAUAUUUUUAAUCAAAUUUAACUGAUAAAUUUAUUUUUAACUUUUUAAGUGAAAGGGUAAAGAAAAACAAAGUUGUACUAGAAAAAAGAAGAUCAAACUACCCAAUGUAUAAAUGUUGAUAGUUAAUUAUUUCUGGAAUCAAGAUUAAAUUGACAUAAUUUAUAAAUAUUGAGGGUUAAAGUUGAUAUUAUGCGAAUAUUAAAAGUUGCCACCGAUGAUCAGUAACCAAAAAAGACAAAACUGAAUAACUUAGUGAUCAUUUUGUAACUCUUCAUAAAUUUUAGUACAAAAUUAAGUGAAUGUUAACGUGUUUGAGGCAAAUCUCGAUGAACAUGUCAUGCAACGCAUAGCUAAAGGGGUAGAUAAGAGCUUUAGACCUCUUUUAGUUAAAUGGUAUCAUUAUGAUUAUAGUGCCUCUUAAAUGUCAAUUGUUUAAUUUAGUUCCUUUCUAGCUUUUAUUUAAAUGGAACAAUUGUAAUUUAGACCCUUUUCAAAUGUUUAAAUUUAAUUUCAGUUAUUUUAACGUAAAAUAUUUUAGCUUUGUCCCCUAUUUUUUUAAUUUUAUCUUGGCUCUUCAUCACAUAAUUCAUGACUGACAUAUAUGCCAUAGGUCAUAAGAUUGAGUCAAACUAUGCAAAAACUCUUUAGUUUCACCUGUUUGAGCACUUCAAGGCGUUCUCACUCUCUAAACCCACCAAGGAUCUAGACAAAGUCGGGAGACAAAACUCCGACUGGGGACAAUACUGGACUUGCUUAUAUCUGCUUUAUAGUUGUAUUUGUAGCAUACAAUGUAUAUUUUGUCAAAUUUGAAUACUUCUUGUUUGCUUGUCUAUUAUUCUUUUGAUAGAAGAUACAACUUUCUUUAUUUGUAUGUCCAUAUAAUUUGUUACAUUCGAUCUGUGAACCAUAUUUGACCUUCAUAUUGUCAACCAUGCCACUUGUUCAAUGGAAAAUUACCUUUGUUGAUUUGUUCUUGGUUGACAUUAAGUUCAAGGUUCGAAUCAGGAAAACCAAUCUCUCUCCCCUUAUUAUAUUUAUGUAUAUACAUGUAUUUGACCUUCAUGUUUGUUGGUGAGAAAAUGGUACAGAGUAAAUUGAAUUUUGCUUUUUGUUUGGUGUGUUUCCUAGGGAAAGCUUUAUGGAAGCCAACAAGAAUGGAAAUUUGGUUGAUGUUGAUCGGAAGGCGUUCGAAACUUGGAAAAAAUGAGCGAGGAGGUAUAGGUCCCUUGCUCCUCCCACUUUGUCAUAACUUUUCAUUGGAAGUUUUCUGUUGUAAUUUUGUAUUGAGUAUCGUCCCGAGUAUUUUCUUUAAUAGGAGAGGAAACCAUAUGUUACUCAGCCUACAUGAAGGAUAUGACUGAAGCGGAUAAAAAUAUUGUAAAGGUAACUGGGAUUCAGAGUUUAUGGAUGCUAAUUUCGUAUAAUUUAAACUUUCUAGAGCGACCUAAAUAUGUUGUUGGUGUAAUUGGUGAAAUUGUUUGUUGUGCUUUCAUAGCAAUGCUGAUACAUUCUGAAUAUUUGAUCAUGGAACUUGUUCCGUAGAUUCUUAAUUCAGAACUAUGAAUAGGGGCAUACUAAGGCAUACUAAAGAUGCAUGAUUUUGAACUCAUGAUCCUCUCAUCUUUACAUAAUCUAUGUUGCCACUCGGUUUUCUCCCUAUCGUUGUCAAUUAUUGUCAUCACAAUUGCUUUUCAAUGAUUUUUUCAGUUAGAAUUAGUAUCUUUUCCUUGUUUUGUCCACAAAAGCAAGAAUGAUAUAUGAUAGCUGUGAUUUAUCUGACAAUUAGCUUCUCUAAAUCUUUCACCCUAAUCAAUUGUCAAAAAUUUGCUGUUCUAGUGCUUAUUGGCUUCUCGUUUUUAACUUGAAAGUUAACUUAUCUAUUGUUCAAACAUCAAAAUGGAACAAAGUUUUGCAUCAUAUUCGAAGUUAUUAAUGAGUUAUUUUCUUUAGGUGGAUGAUGAGGCUGAUUCAGCAAUGGUUGGGAAAUUUGAUGAGGUUUGUAUAUAUGUUUGGAGCACAAAAAACAUAGCAAAUAUAGAUAAAUUUACGUAUUGUAUAUCUACUUGUGCUUAAACUAAGUCAUUCCCCUGCCAGUUGAGGCUCUGAAACCUUUGGGCACUGAAGUUCGAGUUUCACUAUGUAAAUCAUGUGUUGGUUCUCCCCCAGAUUUAUUUUGUUUACUUAGUUAGAGUUGAGUUAGCUUCAGUGAAUGUAACGAUUGAUUAUGUUAGUUCCCCCCUCUUUUGCCACCUCUUCUUCGUUGAAUUUACAGUUCUAUGAAGAUUAUGGGUACUAUGAAACAUCUGAUGAUGAUGGUGAACCAUACCACUCUGGAGGAUUCAAGAGCUUAAACACAACUGAACAGUAAUCGAAGUCUUCCCCACAUUUCAGUUCAAUUACCUAACUUAACCGCAAUCAUAUAUUGUGCACAAGACCGAUAAGUUAUGGCUUUCAUGAAGCAGGGAAACUGCUAUCGAGGGCGGAACUUGAAGAUGUUCUGGUUUUUGUUUCAUGUCAAUGGACCUUAUCCAACUGGCAAUGGUGGAAAAAAAAAGUUUGCCAUUUUGAUUCAUUUGUUAAGGCAAAUCAUUUGGCUAUUGUAAAGUAGUUAUAGGGGUUUUAGCCUUCGAAGCAGAUUGGUAUUUGUUUUGCUAUUUGGCAGUGGCAGUGGCAAUGGCAAUGGGGGUUUCACAGGUGAGUGGCAAGGGCUAUAGAGGAAGCAUCAUUUUGUCUAUAUUUUUUUAGUUUUAUGGAAUUUGGUUGAUGGAAUAGGUGAUAUGUUGGGUUGGAUAAAAUAAUCUAUAUUUUAUUGAAGUUAUGUUUGUUUUUAUCUGUUAGAAAAUUGAAGAAUGAUAUUAGAAAAUAUUUAGUCAAAUAAUUUGUAUUAAUAAUAGUUAAUUAUGCCUUUGUGGCUAAGCUCAUGGAAAUCAUUUAAAAAUAAAAUCUAAUAAAUAAUUAAACAUAUGAUUUAAAAUUAAUAAUAAUAACAAAGUAAUAUGUACGAAAUUUAAAUAGGUAAAUACAUUUGAUUAAGCUUUAUGUUCUGUUCUAAAUUUGGUUUCUUAAUACUUCUUCUGAAUAAGUUGGUGUCGAGUUGAUUCAUGAUACCAAUUUAGUCACAUGGUUAAAUAACUAUAUAGAUACAAAAGUUAAAUAUUUAAGAUGAUUGAUGCCUUCUGAACAUAACACCAUUUAAAUUUAUAUAAAUGUAUGAAAAUACGAAAAAUACUCAAUAACAAUAUUUAUUAAUAAUUUAAAUUUUGAUUUUUUUUAGUUUUCUUUUAUUCAAUUGGUGUCAAGUUAAAUCGUGACGCUGAUUCAGUUACAAUAUAUAGAAUAUGACGUGAGUGACAGACCAAUUUUAUUUAAAAUUUUAAUAUAAAAUAACAAUAAAGGUUUGAUUGAAACGGAAAAAUUAAAGAUUUAAGUUGCUUGAUGUCUUAUGUAAAGGUUUAAAUCGCAUCAUUUGCUUAUUUCCUUAAGUUUAAGUUGUUCCUUAUAACUUUUAUAAAAAUGUGUGAAAAUACAAAAACACCCUAUGAUAAUGUUUAUUAAUUGUUUAAAAUUUGAGUUUUUAGUACUUCUCUAAUUAAAUUAGUGUCGAGUUGAUUCGUAACAUCAACUCAAUCACACUUAAAUUAAAGUUUCCAUACAUAGAACACCAGGUGGGUGAGAGUGAUAGACGAGAUUUAUGAAAAAAAUUCAUGUAAAAUAACAAUGAAGUUUCGGUUAAAAUAAUAAAUUUAAUUUGUAAUAUUUAUAAUGAUAAAUUUACACAGAAUACUUGCCAUUUGCAUAUUUUUUAUAAGUUUAUUUUAUUUUUUAAAAUAAAGUUUAUAUAAAGGUAUGAAAUGCAAAACUACCUUAUAAUAAUAUUUAUUAAUCGUUAAAAUUUUGAUUUUUUUAAUACUUUGUCUAAUCGAGUUGGUGUCGAGUUAGUCAAUGAUAUAAUUUAGACAUAUAAUUAGACAACAGUGUAAAAGUGUAGAUACAUAGAUCACAAUGCGCGUGAUAAGCAAAUUUUAUGUAAAAAAAAACUCAUAUAAAUAUUAUAUUAAUAGAUGAGAACAUCUGUAUUUAAUAAUUAGACAACAGUGUAAAAAUGUAGACACAUAGAUUACAAUGGGCGUGAUAAGCAAAUUUUAUGUAAAAAAACUCAUAUAAAUAUUAUAUUAAUAGAUGAGAACAUCAGUAUUUAAAAAAAAAAAUCCAGAAAGCUGAUUGCAUACCAAGGCUUGGAACAUGGCAAUCAUGGUACACAAAAAAGCCAAAAAAAAUUUAGCAAUAAGAUUUCAUAAAGAUAUAAAUUGUUUACAACAGUAAAUUAACACAAGAAAAUAAAAAUAAAACAAAGUAGAAAACUAACCCCCACCCCCAAUUUGCCGUCCACAGUAGUUGUGACCUUAUUAUAUAAUCUUCAAUCCUUAAUAAUCUAUACUAUAUAUAUAGAACACAGACACUUAAAACAUGCAAUAAGCAAACCAUGAUAAUGACCCAAAUUUUAUGUGAAAAUAUUAAACCAAGCAAGCAUCAUAAGCAACAAUCCCAUCCAUGAUCUUGGCCACACUAUCUUUGGACUCCUUUAACACCUUGAUGCUGUUUUUAAGCUUCUCACGCUUUGCAACAAUGGCAGGAGAUUCCACCAGCAUCAUCUUUAUCCCAUGUCCAUCUGGUCCCAUCAGCUCCUUCACAAUCUCAUCAAUGUCAUUGUGUACAAGAUUAUGAACAUGGUAUCGUAAAUGCAAUGCCAUGGAAUCAACCAAUCUCACCUUAAAUACCUUCCAAUAAGCAACCAUUCUCAUCUUCAGGUCGAAAGCUUGUUGCAGGAUCGAAACAUCCGAGUGUUUUCUGAGAUGUUCGAUUUGGAUUUCCCCUAAACCUUCGAGAUCCACACUGCAAGGCAGCGGCCGCAUGUUUGUUCCAGAUAUUUGGUUCAUGAAAUGGUCUUGUUGCUUCAUGAGCUUAUUCCACUCCAUCAUGUAAUCAGGGUUACAUGUGUAGCCUGUUAGCUUCUCCAUUUCUACAAUCUCUUUCACCCUAUUGAUUGAUUGCUCCCUCAGCUUUUGAACAAGGUUGUGAGCAGCUCCUUUUGCGGAUACCUUGAGGUGAUAAUACAUUUCCGAGUGGCGCGUCAAAACAGACAUCACCACAUCGUCUAUGUAAUCCCAAUACUUUUCGCUGAGUUUGAUAGGGAGAUACGAUAUCCUCUCGACUUUUCUCCGUAAGAUACGAAGGAAUGCUUCACAGGGAAGGAAGUUCGGUAGUUCGAUCCCCCUAGCAUCUUCCAAACCCUUGAUCUCUUCUGUUAAAAAGUCUUUUGAUAGAUUACUUUCCUCGCAGUUGUGAAGCUCAUCGGAGAACCGGUUCAGCAUUUCAACAAACCGAGCAGUCCCGUGCUUCGUGUUGUCCUCGGGGUAUUCAUCAAAUUCCCCCCUCCAAAGAAGUUUCUUCAGGGAUUCUUUAGCUGCUUGAAUGAUCCUCAUCAUAGCUUGAGUGGCAUCAGCAAUAGAAGUUAAGGCCUUUGGCAUUUUCUCUAGCUCUGAAACAUUUGCAUCCAGCUUUGCACUAAUGUUUUUAACAAUCUCUGGCAAGCACUUUGCAAUCGCAUUAGCUUGAAUUCGGACAAGAUUUUGAGCCAAAACAUGAACCCCCACAAUUGAUUUAUCAAUACGUGACAAAUGUGCAUUAGUUUCGAACAAUCUAGCCUCUUCCUUCCUUGCUUCUUCAUAGGAUUCAUCACCAAUCCGAUUCCGAACACAAACAUAACCAAGUCCUAUAUUCACAUCAUCUGCAGUAACCUUGUCAACAAGCCCUUCGGGGGCCCUAUCUACUUUAGUAACCACGGCAAGAGUUCUCUCACCAUUCUUGUCCACUUGUUGCGACAUCCUAAUGGAUUCACAAGUUGAAAAAUCAACCGUAGCCGACAGAACAUUAAGGAUAAUGCUUUCCUUUGGUGUUAUGUACUGCAUGAUGAUGUCCCGGAUCUGCUCAUAUAUGUUGUCGGGCUGACCAUGGACAGGAACUCUGGUAAUUCCAGGAAGAUCAACCAUGGUAAGAUCAGGAACCCCAUCUUUUCUCACCACCAAAGUCAAAGGGAUGUCAGAUAUGCUCUUACCCGGGCCUGCAACCUCAUCCGUUGCAAUGUUUAUGGCUGUUGCAAUCUGGGGUUCCUCCACUGGGACCGUUUUGCCAUUGUACUCCAAGUAGAGCUCUGGCCUUGGACUUGCAUGGUUCUGCAACCUGAUUAUGAGAGGUACCCUGGUGCAAAUGCCCUGGCUACGAGGAAGGUUAACACCAGCCAAGGAUUCAAGAACACUAGACUUGCCUGAUGACUGGUCUCCAACCACAACAAUUGUGGGGAGCUGUAUGCCUUCUUUCAUCACCAUGAGCAGCCUGAGCCUGUCGAUGACGUCAAGCAAAGGUCGGAUUUUGUCAUUGUAUGAUGAAAUAAUUGGGGCUUGAACUGCUGCUGCUCCCACCACCUUAGGUUCUUCCAUAGAAGGAGUUGCUGGUUGAGAAUCUUCAUAAUCAUUGAUGACACCAAUGGUCCCUGAAUCAGCUUCAUCAUAGCUUCCCAUUUUCUAGAAGUCGAGACAGGACGGGAAUUGGCCAAACUUGAUGUUUUAGAUGGUUUUUUUUGUUGGAAGUUGGAAAGCAAUAAACUUGAACUAAAGUGAAGACAAAUUCAAUGAAGCAUGUUUGGCUUUAUAAUGAAAAUUAAAAUAGGGUAAAGCACCAAAAAUAGGAACAAUAAAGCGAUAGCAUCCUAUACCAAACCCCAAGAAACAAGCAAAGGAAGCUAUAAUGGGAAUGGAAAACUUUAGGUUAUACUUUGAAUUGUAGAAAAUAAUGAUACAAGGACAGAAGAGAGGAAACAGAACAAAAUCAAAUCGUGACCGACCAAAAGAUGAGUGUGUCGAUGACAGAAAGUUCGAAACAUAAACAGCACCACUAGUUCCUACAGGAACUAGACAGCAGAACUAUAUGAAACAAUGUAUUCACAUUGAAGUUUCGGAGAGAUGCCACGUACAAGCCAUGUUGCCAUUAACUCAUAUGCUCUUUGUGCCAAAUGAGCUCCAUCCCAACUAAGCCGUUCAUUAGGGUUUUCGCAUACCGGUACUUUUGGAUCUCCGCACCAACUUAAUAAGCCAGAAUUGUAGUCCCCAAUUCCGCAGCAAGCUUUUUGCAAUGAUGUUGGAUCAAAACCUGAUGAGAUUUUUCGAAAACUCAGAACAUGACUAGAACCAUUCACAGUACGAUCUCAUAAACUUCUGGAUGCAAAUAAAUCAGACUUACCAAGCAGAUCAGCUUUGCUCAAAAGCCACAGGAAUGCAUUGUAGUAGUAACCGUAGACAACGAUUACAUCUUGAUGUUUUUCUUUUAGCUCAGCAAUAGCUUGUUGAAGAAGAUGACUAUGAUAGAUUGAAAAAUUAUUCUAACUCCUUUAAAAUUAUAUAUUUUAAUUUUAGCCUAAAAAAAAAAAUCUUGACUUGGUCCCUUUCGGGCAAAUUACACAUAAAAGCAUUAUUUUUUUAAAAUUUACGGAAAUAAGCUCGGUAUUUUAUUAUUUACUGGAAUGAGUCAUUUUCCCCAAAAUCGCGUCUACGUUAGCGCGAUGUCAGGGGACGUCAGCAAAUCGCGCCUCAAAAAAAAAAUCUUGACUUGGUCCCUUUCGGGCAAAUUACACAUAAAAGCCUUUUUUUUUUAAAUUUACCGAAAUAGGCCCGGUAUUUAUUAUUUACCGGAAUGGGCUAUUUUUCCCAAAAUUGCUUCUACAUCAGCGCGAUGUCAAGGGACGUCAGAAAAUCGCGUCCUCGUAGGCACAAUUUGCUGACGUGGAAGCAAAUCGCGCUAACGUGGACGCGAUUUGCGCCGCACGUGAACAGUACCCUCCGGUCAAAAAAUUGACCGUUUAUGUUUUUUAGCUUGGAAAACUUUGAAAUGCCAUAACUUUUCGCUCGGUUGUUCGAUUGAGAUGAUUUUUUUUAUUUCGAAUAACUUUUCGAGAUCUACGCGCUGACGGUUGAGACGAUUGAGGCGGUUUGCCGCAGUUUUCGUCGAAAAAGAUCCUUUUUUACCUCUAAAUUUUUAUUUUUUUCGGUUUAAAAUUAAAUUUUGAAACAUUCAAAUCAUUAUUUUCCUUAUUUAUUUGAAGUAAACACCGGAUUUUUUUUACAAAAUUAUUGUAUUAUUUUUUCUGAUUUGACACGUGUAUGGAAUAGGUCCGAUAAAUCAUUAAAACGUAAGUAAUAUAAUUAAGAUAAUAACAGUAUUUUUAUAAUAUGUUAAUUAAUUAGUUUAGCUUAGUUGGUUAAUAUGCUUGCUUUUUUCCUUUAGUACCUUGGUUCAAAUCUUGUUGGUAAUAAUUUUGAAUCUUUUUUGUACUUGUUGCAUUUAUUUUUUUAAUCAAUUAACUCUUCAAUAUUACAUUAAUAUAUAUUAUUAGUACAAUAAUAUAGACAGAUUGACAAUUUGAGCUACAAUAUUAUGAAUAUUAACUACAAUACAUAAUUUGAGCUACAUAUUACAGUAAUACAUAUUGGGCAAAAUACCAAAAAACCCUAUUUUUUUAAAAUUUACCGAAAUGGGCCCGAUAUUUUAUUAUUUAUCGAAAUGGGUCAUUUUCCCCGAAAUCGCGUCCACGUCAGCGCGAUGUCAUGGGACGUGUCAGAAAAUCGCGUCCUCGUAGGCGCGAUUUGUGUUCACAUAAGCAAAGCGCGCUGACGUGGACGCGAUUUUCUAACACGUCCCCUGAUAUCGCGCUGACGUGGACGCGAUUUAAGGGAAAAUGGCCUAUUCCGGUAAAUAAUAAAAUACCGGGUCCAUUUCGGUAAAUUUAAAAAAAAUAGGGUUUUUUUGGUAUUUUACUCGUCCCUUUCGCAUACCUACUCUAAGACAAAAAAAAUCAUUUUAUUUAAGCUUUUUGUUUAUUAAUAAUUUUUUUUUCAAUGUGAUUCAUUAAAUACAAUUAAAAAUAUUUGGAAGAGAAAUCUAGUCGUAGACUAGAUAGUUAAGAUAAUAUCUAACAGAGAGGUCGAUGUUCGAGUGUUUGUUGAAGUUCUUACGUAACUUUUAACAAUUUUACUGAUAACACUCUAGAAUACGUAUUUUUAUAUAUUAAUUAUGUAUUUAUUCUAAGAAUGAUGCUACUAAUUUGAGCUAUUUAUGAUCUUUUAUCUCAUAAGGACUAAAUUUGAGGUAAAAACAAAAUUAAUGGCCAAGAACGUGAAUUUAGAGAUACAAUAGGCCAAUGUGCUACACAAGAAAAAGUUGUUGCCAAAAGUGCAAGUGUGGAGGACACAAGGGUUGAGAUGCAAAAAGAAGAGAUUUUAUUCUAUCAGACUCUAUUUUAAUUAUAUUAGGAUAAUUAAUAUUAAGAUAAUUAUUAAAGAUUAUUUAAUUUUAGGAUUUAAUUUUAUUUAUCUUUAUUUAUCUUUAAUUAAAUGUAUUUAUCGUUUGGCAAUUUAAGUAGGAUUAGACUAUCUCCCCUAGCACUAUAAAUAGGGGUGAAGUGAGUCAAAAGAGGAUCCAUCUUUUUUGUAAACACUCUCUCCUCAAAAGUCUAGGCUUUUGUUCUUCUCAUAUUUCAUUUAAAUAAAAUCUCAAUUUUUAUUUAUUUUCUUUUCUACCACAAUCAUGAGCCACUAAACCUAUCUAGCCAAAGGUUGUCGAAAAUCUCCAAAAUAGUUUAUGAGGCUUAGAAUUCGUACUUAGCUUUCUCAAUGAGUGUUCAUCGUUUCUCUGCACUACGAGACUGACGCUUUCGUCGAUGUCCCUUAAGAAGUAAGCUUUUCAAUGUAUGCAAAGGUGGCCACUUUGUAUGUUUUGGGAAAGUUGCACAGUCGGUUUGUAAAAUAGGGUAAAGCACCAAAAAUAGGAACAAUAAAGCGAUAGCAUCCUAUACCAAACCCCAAGAAACAAUCAAAGGAAGCUACAAUGGGAAUGGAAAACUUUAGGUUAUACUUUGAAUUGUAGAAAAUACAUCUUAUAUUCCGUAUUGGAUUGUAGAAAAUAAUGAUACAAGGACAGAAGAGAGGAAACAGAUCAAAAUCAAAUCGUGACCAACCAAAAGAUGAGUGUGUGGAUGACAGAAAGUUCAAAACAUAAACAGCCCCACUAAUUCCUACAGGAACUAGACAGCAGAACUAUAUGAAACAAUGUAUUCACAUUGAAGUUUCGGAUAGAUGUCACGUACAAGCCAUGUUGCCAUUAACUCAUAUGCUCUUUGUGUCAAAUGAACUCCAUCCCAACUAAGCCGUUCAUUAGGGUUUUCGCAUACCGGUACUUUUGGAUCUCCGCACCAACUUGAUAAGCCAUAAUUGUAGUCUCCCCCAAUUCCGCAGCAAGCCUUUUGCAAUGAUAUUGGAUCAAAACCUAAUGAGAUUUUUCGAAAACUCAGAACAUGACUAGAACCAUUCACAGUACGGUCUCAUAAACUUAUGGAUGCAAAUAAAUCAGACUUACCAAGCAAUCAGCUUUGCUCAAAAGCCACAGGAAUGCAUUGUAGUAGUCACCGUAGACAACGGUUUCAUCUGGAUGUUCUUCUUUUAGCUCAGCAAUAGCUUGUUGAAGAAGAUAAUUAUGAUAGAUUGAAAAAUUAUUCAACUCCUUUAAACAAUGAAGUUCAUCAUAAGCAGUAGAAUCAUCUGUUUGGUAUUUGGUGAGAUAUACAGGAAAGCAGCCUAUGGGGAAGUUUCCAGGAACAACUAACCGAGUAGCACCAUAUCCGAUAACUCUCUACACAGUGGAACUUAUGAGAAACAGGGUUUCAAUGAUUAGAAGUGAUAUAAUCAGAUGUCUCUUGAAAGAAAACUUACUUUGGUAGCUUGUUUUAUCGUUUCUACUACCUCGGGCACCAUGGUCUUAACCUCUUCUAUGGUUUUUCCUUGCCAAAAGGCGUAGUUAUAGUCAUUUCCUCCUAUCUCCCCAACCAUGAAAAGAGCUUUCCCAUUUUUCUUGAAGCAAUCUACCAAAUAUAACACCUCAAGUGGUUAUUUGUGUUAAUCCAUUCUGAACAUCGUUAUUAUACCUGAUUACCUAACCAGGAGGCCUCAUUAGACCAACCGCUCCAUCAUGGAGGUCUCGCCUGCAUGAUAGCUCAACCAACUAAAGACACUCAUGUGCCUUGUCACACGAGCCACCACAAGGUCAUAUCAAGAUCCACUCAGGACCUGCUCCUGUCACAUCUAGUACAGGCUCUAUCACUCGACCAUUAAGUCUACAAGAAUAAUCUAUCUUCAACCUCUGCUAGCAGCUCUUGACACUCACGUGUGAGCCACCUUCAACCUCUUCCACCACAUCCUAUAUCAACAAACAUAUAUAUAUGUUGUGCGGAAGCGUGUAAAAGAGUAAAAUUAUUGUAUUAAAAAAUCACACUAAGUUCAAUUCCCAGGAAAGAGAGGUGGAUCACAAGGAUCGCUUAAGUACCAGGUCUUUCCUAGCCAGAAUAUCCCUCAAUCGUAAUUUAAUAGCACAAUAAAUCACUACAAUCACACACACAAUUCAUGCAGAAUAAUACAAUAAAGAACACAAGAAUUUAACGAGGUUCAGCAAAUUUUGCCUACGUCCUCGGGCACUACCAAAUAUAUUUCACUCCAAAAUACAAGUGAGAAUUUACAAAGAGAGAGAGAGAAAACAAUGCCUUAAGUAGAGAAUGGCAAGUUUGAGAUACAGAAUGAGAGAUGGUUAUGCCUAUUUAUAGUUGAGGUUCAGGGAUCAACUUGCAAAGUCACUUUACAAUUAGGGACCAUAUAUUACAAAUAUCUCAGAUUUUAUUAUGCCAAUAUCUCGAUACCCAUAUCUUUGACUUUCCAAUAUUUGAUACCCAUAUCUUUGACUUAUUAUUUGAUACCCAUAUCUUUGAUUUUCCAUAAAUAUGGAUAAUUCCCAAUAAUCUCCACCUUGAAGAUUUGAUUCGAGUAAUCUUAUCUUCACACAAUUCUCUCUGCCUUUGUCAACAACACUUGAUAGUGCCUUCUUCAACUGUUAAACAUGCAGAAUAUUGAUCAAGUUCAAACAAUGUUCGAACUUGAUUGUUGUUACCACCUUGGUCAUCAUAUCUGCGGGAUUAUCUGCAGUCUUAAUCUUCUGAAGGUGAAUUUUCCCCUCAUCAAUAAUUUCCCGCACAAAGUGGAAACGUACGUCGAUAUGCUUUGUACGUGCAUGAUAGACUUGAUUCUUUGCUAAAUGAAUAGCACUUUGACUAUCACAAUACACAUUAAUAUGCUCCUGGACCAAUCCCAAGGUUUUAACCAUACCUUGUAACCAAAUAGCUUCCUUUACAGCCUCUGUUACAGCCAUGUAUUCAGCUUCUGUGGUUGACAACGCAACUGUAGACUGCAGUGUAGACUUCCAACUUAUUGGUCCUCCAGCAAGAGUAAACACAUAACCAGUGGUUGAUCUUCGUUUGUCCAAAUCACCGGCAUAAUCAGAAUCAACGUACCCAACAACACCUUUACCAAGUGUAGUAUCCUGCUUGAACAGUAAUCCAAUAUCCAUGGUCUUAUGAAUAUACCGUAGAAUCCAUUUCACAGCUUGCCAAUGUCCUUUUCCAGGAUUAUGCAUAUACCUGCUCACUAUACUAACUGCUUGUGAAAUGUCGGGUCUUGUACACACCAUUGCAUACAUCAAGCUACCUACUGUAUUAGAAUACGGAACUUGUAACAUGUAUUCUUGUUCCGUAUUUGUCGAAGGAGAUAGUUGAGCAGAAAGCUUGAAAUGAGAAGCCAACGGAGUACUUACAGCUUUAGUCUGCUCGUUCAUGCCAAACUUCUGUAGUAUCUUCUUUAAAUAUUGCUUCUGAGAUAAACUAACUCUGCCAUGAGCUCUAUCCCUACAUAUUUCCAUGCCAAGGAUCUUCUUAGCUUCACCUAGAUCUUUCAUCUCAAACUCAAGGUUGAGUUGAGUCUUCAAUCUCUCAAUUUCAACUUUACUCUUAGAUGCUAUCAACAUAUCAUCAACAUAUAAGAGCAAGUAUACGAAAAAUCCUUCUUGUAGCUUCUGAAAAUACACGCAAUGAUCAAAUUUACUUCUUGUAUACCUUUGCCCUUUCAUGAACUGAUCAAAUCGCUUGUACCACUGCCUUGGAGAUUGUUUCAAUCCAUAAAGCGACUUUGUCAGUUUGCAAACCUAAUUUUCUUUAUCAGCAACCUUGAAUCCAUCUGGCUAAGUCAUAUAGAUUUCCUCUUCCAAAUCACCGUGUAAAAAUGCGGUCUUCACAUCGAGUUGAACUAGUUCAAGAUCAUAUUGCGCAACCAAGGCUAGCAAAAUCCGAAUAGACGAAUACUUCACAACUGGAGAAAAUACUUCAUUGUAGUCUAUUCCUUCUUUCUGAGCGUAACCCUUUGCUACCAAUCUAGCCUUGUAUCGAACUUCAUUUUUAUCAGGAAAUCCUUCCUUCUUUGCAUAUACCCAUUUGCAUCCAAUUGCCUUCUUUCCUUUAGGUAGUGUCACCAACUCCCAAGUCCUAUUUUUAUGAAGAGACUGCAUUUCUUCAUUCAUAGCUUGCUUCCACUUUACACUAUCAGAGUUACUUCUUGCUUCUGUGUAAGUAGAAGGAACAUCAUCAUCUACAAUUGGAAGUGCUUAGGCCACCAUAUCAUCAAAGCGAGCAGGCAUACGAAUCUCUCUUCUUGGCCUUCUAUAUGCAAUUGAAUCAUGUUGCUAUAGAAGUUCUUGGGUCGAAACUUCUUCAUCAUUUGUUCCUUCAAUAUUAGCUGGAUCAUCAUUAACCUUUUCAAGCUCCACCUGCUGCAAAGUGCCACUAGUUGUGUUAUCCUUUUGUGAAUCAUUGUUCUUCAUCAUGGUUGAUUCAUCAAAAGUCACAUCUCUACUGAAAAUUAUUUUCCUUGUAUCAGGACACCAGAGACGGUAUCCUUUUUCUCCACCAGUUAUACCCAUGAAUAAUGCUUUCUUUGCUCUUGGGUCUAACUUAGAUUCUUUUACAUGAUAAUAUGCAGUGGAACCAAAAAUAUGUAAAGAAUCAUAAUCAGUAGCAGGUUUACCAGCCCACCUCUCCAUAGGAGUUUUUCCAUUUAUUGCAGCUGAUGGCAACCGAUUAAUUAGAUGGCACGCAUAUGUAACUGCCUCAGCCCAAAAUUCUUUGCCCAAUCCAGCAUUGGACAACAUACAUCGAACUUUCUCCAGUAUAGUCCGAUUCAUACGUUCUGCCACCCCAUUCUGUUGUGGUGUAUCUCGAACAGUGAAGUGUCGUACAAUACCUUCAUCGUGACAUACUUGUAGAAAUGGAUCAUUCUUGUACUCAGUACCAUUGUCUGAUCGAAGUCGUUUGACUUUUCGACCAGCCUGGGUCUCCACCAUCUUCUUCCAUUUCAGAAAUACAUCCAAAACUUCAUUUUUCCUUUUCAUUAGAUACACCCAUACUUUUCUUGAAUAAUCAUCAACAAAAGUAACAAAAUAGUGCAUACCUCCCAAAGAAGCCACUUUAGUAGGUCCCCACACAUCACUGUGAACGUAGUCCAGAAUUUCUUUUGUAUUGUGAAUUGCUGAACCAAAUUUUAUCCUCGUCUGCUUGCCCAGAACACAAUGUUCACAGAAUUCCAAUUUUCAAGAAUUUGCACCUUUCAACAAGCCUUGCUUCGCCAAACUCUGCAAAGCUUUUUCACCAGCAUGUCCCAAUCGCAUAUGCCAUAACCUGGUAGCCUCUGAAUCUGCAUCUUUCGUAAAAGCUGUUGAUGUUGAUCCAAUAACUGUACUUCCAUUUAAAUAGUACAGAUUAUUCCUUCUUGUGCCUUUCAUCACCGUCAAUAUCCCUGCUACUACCUUUAGUAAUCCAUCUCUCAAAGUGAUUGUGAGCCCUUUAGAUUCUAGGACCCCUAAUGAGAUAAGAUUUUUCUUCAAGCUAGGUAUGUAGCGAACAUCUGUCAAGACUUGAAUUGAGCCGUCGUGAUUCUUCAAUUAGAUUGUACCUACUCCCAUUGUCUUACAAGCGCUAUCAUUGCCCAUAAAAACAACUCCACCUUCUAGUUCUUUAAGACUAGAAAACCAGUCCUUAUUAGGACACAUAUGGUAAGUACAUCCCGAAUCCAAAAUCCACUCAUCUGUAUGACAUGCCAUUGCCAUGCCAACCAAGCUAAAGUCUGACUCCUCAUCAUGCUCCGCUACACAUGCAUCAAAAAUAGCUUUACCCUUUUGUAACUUAGGACAAUUCUUUUUCCAAUGCCCUUUCUCACGACAAAAAGCACAUUCAUCUUUGGCAGGUCUCCCUUUGGACUUACUCCUUCUACCAGAUUUGUUGCUGCGCGAACGAAUUCUUACUGUUAAGACUUCUGUAGUUGUAUCUCUGUGAUCUUUUUUAUCUUUCUUUCGAGUCUCAGAUCUAUACAACGCACUACAGACUGCAUCAAAUGUGAUUGUAUCCUUCCCAUGAAGCAAUGUGGUGGUAAGAUGAUCAUAUUCAUCAGGAAGAGAAUUCAACAACAGUAAUGCCUUGUCUUCAUCUUCAAAUUUCUCAUCCAAAUUUAGCAAGUCUGCUAAAAUUUUAUUGAAUGAGUUCACAUGGUCAUUCAUCGACAUACCGGGUGCAUACGUAAAUCGAUAAAGUUUCUUUUUCAUAUAAAGCCUAUUUUUAAGACUUUUUGUUAGAAACUUUUCUUCUAGUGUAUCCCACAACUUCUUCGCUGAUGUCUCCCUCAUGACAGAGUGCUUCUACUCUUUGGCCAAACAUAGGCGAAUUGUUCCAUAUGCCUGUCUAUUGAUCUUGGCCCACUCCUUGUCAUCCAUUUUGUCAGGUUUUUCUUUAAGGGCUAUAUCCAGCUCUUGCUGACAUAAGACAUCCAGGAUCUCACAUUGCCACAUACCAAAAUUAUUGGUACCAUCAAAUUUCUCUACUUCAAAUUUCGCAUUGGUCACAGUAGUCUUUAACGAUGACUUUUCCAUUUUUUUUCUCCUCAAUCCCAACUACAGUACGUGAACAGUGCCGUGAACGAUCGUAUUCCCCAAGUACGAAUCUAGCUCUGAUACCAAUUGUUGUGCGGAAGCGUGUAAAAGAGUAAAAUUAUUGUACUAAAAAAUCACACUAAGUUCAAUUCCCAGGAAAGAGAGGUGGAUCACAAGGAUCGCUUAAGUACCAGGUCUUUCCUAGCCAGAAUAUCCCUCAAUCAUAAUUUAAUAGCACAAUAAAUCACUACAAUCACACACACAAUUCAUGCAGAAUAAUACAAUAAAGAACACAAGAAUUUAACGAGGUUCAGCAAAUUUUGCCUACGUCCUCGGGCACUACCAAAUAUAUUUCACUCCAAAAUACAAGUGAGAAUUUACAAAGAGAGAGAGAGAAAACAAUGCCUUAAGUAGAGAAUGGCAAGUUUGAGAUACAGAAUGAGAGAUGGUUAUGCCUAUUUAUAGUUGAGGUUCAGGGAUCAACUUGCAAAGUCACUUUACAAUUAGGGACCAUAUAUUGCAAAUAUCUCAAAUUUUAUUAUGCCAAUAUCUCGAUACCCAUAUAUUUGACUUUCCAAUAUUUGAUACCCAUAUCUUUGACUUAUUAUUUGAUACCCAUAUCUUUGAUUUUCCAUAAAUAUGGAUAAUUCCCAAUAAUAUAUAUAUAGGAAAGAUGCUAACCUUUGUUACCACGACAAGUUGUAUUGAAAUAGCUAAACAUCCAGUCAAGUUGUCUACUUAAAGAUAUGCUGGUAGGCACAAAGGAAACAUUCCACUUGGCUAAAUCUUCUGCAGACAUGGCAGUAGCUCCGGCAAACGCGAAAUUAAGCCCAUAAUCAAAUAAUCCAUCUUUGUUUAAGUAAGGAUCAAGAAAAGGAAUUCCAGCAGAUAGUGCUGUUCAAAUGUUCAAAACACGAAACAGUAAACACACUGGUUAAAAAAAAGUUAAUUAAACCAACAAAAAUCAAUACAAAUAUAAUCAUUAAUCAUCUUCCUAAACCUUUCUAGUAUGGGGUUGACACUUUUUUAGAGAAAAAAGAGAUUGAUUCUUCUCCAAGCAAUGCACCCAACGUGUAUGGUCUCAGUGAAGCUUUUGAUUAGAAUUUAGUAUUUUACCUAUAUAAUCAAUCAUCAACAAACCAUCGGAGCAUCUCCCAGUUGCUUUCUUGAAGGUUUCUCCAUAUGGUAACCUUGCAAAUUUUGAUGAAGGGUUGUCUUGCACAUCAUUACCCGUAUCUGCUAUGGAAUCCCCGAGCUGAUAUAUGGCAUCGAAAUUGUAGCUGCUAAGGAUAUGUUGAUUGUUGCAUGUAACGAAGUUGAAGAAAGAGAUGAUAAUUAGUAUAGAGAACACAAAACCUGGUGGUGAAGAUUUACUAGAAGCCAUAUAUGGAGAAAUGGUAUUACUGGGUAUUUAGCAUCUAAAUCUUAGCUCCCCCUAAAAAGGUAUAUAGUUGUGCUCCUACAGGUAGCUUUGAAUCAGGGACGGCACCAAAGGGGCAGUCAAAGGCCUUAGCACCCCCCAAACGAAAAAUUAUUAUUUUAGUCCCUUGAAAUUUUUUAAAUUAUAAGUUAGGUAAAAAUACACUUUGACCCCACAAGAUGAUUUUUUUUAAUUUAAUUCUUUUAAGAUUAUAAAUAACAAACAUAUAGAAAGAUAAAAUUAUAUUUUAACCUUUUUAAAAUUAUAUAAUUUAAUUUUAGCCUCAAAAAUAAAGUCUUGACUUGGUCCCUUUCGUAUACCUACUCUUAGACAAAAAAAAAUCAUUUUAUUUAAGCUUUUUGUUUAUUAAUAAUGAGUUUUUUUUCUCAAUGAUUCAUUAAAUACAAUUAAAAAAUAUUUGGAAGAGAAAUCUAGCAGUAGACUAGAUAGUUAAGAUGAUAUCUAACAGAGAGGUCGAUGUACGAGUGUUUGUUGAAGCUCCUAUGUAACUUUUAACAAUUUUACAAACUGAUAGAGGUAAUGGUUUCUUUGAUCAUUUAUUUUUAAUACGAGUAAAGAAACCUAAUUAUUUAAUUAUGGGUAAAAUACACAAGGAGUCACCCAACUAUGAAGAGUUAAAAAAAAGACAAUGGUGGUAACUUUUAAAAUUAGCAUAAUAGCAAUUUAACCCUUAACGUUUAUAUAUUGUAUCAAUCUAGUCUUGAUUCUAUUUUUUUUUAACUCUCAACAUUUACACAUUGUAUAAUUUAGUCUUUCUUUUUUAAUUUUGUUUUUCUUUGUGACAUUGAGGGUUAAUUUUAAAAGAAAAAGAAAAGAUAAAAAGUAUUAUCUUGGAUUUCUGGGUGCUCCUAUUUUUUUUAUAUAUUUUUAAUCAAAUUUAACUGAUAAAUUUAUUUUUAACUUUUUAGUUAAAAGAGUAAAGAAAAACAAAGUUGUACAAAAAAAAAAUCAAACUACGCAAUGUAUAAAUGUUGAGAGUUAAUUGUUUGAGGAAACAAGAUUAAAUUGACAUAAUUUAUAAAUAUUAAGGGUUAAAGUUGAUAUUAUGCUAAUUUUAAAAGUUGCCAUUGAUGAUCAGUGACCAAAAAAGACAAAAGCGAAUAAUUUAGUGAUCAUUUUGUAACUUUUUAUAAUUAAAUGACAAAAAAAUUACGUAAUUUAAUCUUUAAUUAUUUGUUUUGGACAUUGAUUAUUUAAUAACUAAUAACAUUCAAUAAUUGACGUUAAAAAAUUGUUUGUAUGAUGAAGUCAUUGUCAUCACCCAAAAGAUGUACAUAUAAAAGGAGUCACAAUCGGCCUCUACCAAAUUGAUUUUAGAAAGUAGACGCUAACUAUUUGAAAUAUAAUUGUUGUAUCUUAAUUUAUAAGUUAUUAUAUUAUUAUAUAAGCAUAAUUUUCUUUUGGUAGAUAAAGAUUAUUUCUUUCUAAAUAAUCUUUCAAAGUUAUUAAAUAAUCGUUGAAUUUUUUUGUAAUUUGGAGUACAAAAUUAAGUGAAUGUUAACGUGUUUGAGGCGAAUCUCGAUGAACAUGUCAUGCAAAUGCAACGCAUAGCUAAAGGAGUAGAUAAGAGCUUUAGACCUCUUAAAUGUCAGUUGUUCAAUUUAGUUCCUUUCUAGCUUUUAUUUAAAUGGAACAAUUGUAAUUUACACCCUUUUCAAAUGUUUAAAUUUAAUUUGGGUUAUUCUAAUGUAAAAAGUUUUAGCUUUGUCCCCUAUUUUUUUUAAUUUUACUCUUGGCUCUUCAUCACAUAAUUCAUGACUUCGCCUGAUACUGUGAGACCCAAUGUUAAUAUUUUAAGUAUUCAAAUCUCGGAUCGUUUAUGAACAAAAUUUUGAAAGAAAGAUGAUGGAAUAUUGACCUUGUAGCUGUAUAAGAGCUAGAAAGUAAUAUUAUAAAAAGAUUGGAGAUUAUAAGUUAAACACUUGGAAUUAUCGAAAAGUUGUUGCAGGAAGUUCGGUAGUUUGAUCGCCUUAGCUAACCUUCAAAGAUUCUUCAUCAAUUUAGACACCGAAAUCCCCACACUGUCAGAUUCGCUUUGAAAGAAGAGUAUGUGAAAUCCAUUAUACUCUAGAGCUCUCAAAGGGGCCAUGCAAAGAGGCUUCGAAAGAAAAUUGCAUGAAGUUCCCACAAUGUGUCAUUGGUUUCAUUAUGAUAUUUUAACCUUUAAUCAUUUUAUUUUAUAUAAAAAAAUUUGAACUGAUAAAAAAUUGAUUUCAAAUUAUUUCUAUUUUUAUUUUUCAAUUUUUAGUGUCAUUAUUAAUUUUUGUGUAAUUCAAUUGUUAAAGUAUGUAGUUUGAUACAUAAUUAUUGUUGUUAAUUUAGGAUAGCCAUGAAUGGGAUGCAUUGAGUUUGAAAUAUUUUAAGUAAAUUAUCAAAUUUUAUAAUAUUAGUUAAAAUUAAAAGAAUAUAUAUUUACUCCUUUUUUUUUCUCUUUGUAUCUUGAUUUGUGGAUUAGGUAACGAAUAUUGGUGUCCAAUUAUGUUAUGAUAAUAUAUACUUUUUUUUAUACAAUUUCUAGAAGUACCUGUAGCCUCUCUUAAGCCAUAAAUAGAAGGAUGAUAUGCUUCAGCGCACAAAAACUUACGUUUUCCUACAUUAGCAAUUGAGUUAAAACUCGAUCGGUAAGAUUUUAAAGAAAACAAAAUAAAUAAAAACUAAUCCCCCAAUUUACCGUCCACAGUAGUUCUGACAUUAUUAUAUGAUCUUCAAAUCUUUAUAAUCUAUACUAUAUAUAUAGAAUACAGACACUUGCAGCAUGUAAUAAAGCAAACCAUGAUGAUGACCUAAAUUUUAUGUGAAAAUAUUAAACCAAGUAAGCAUCAUAAACAACAAUCCUGUCCAUGACCUUGGCCACACUAUCUUUGGACUCCUUUAACACCUUGAUGCUGUUUUUAAGAUUCUCACGCUUUGCAACAAUGGCAGGAGAUUCCACCAGCAUCUUCUCCAUCCCAUGUCCAUCUGGUCCCAUCAGCUCCUUCACAAUCUCAUCAAUGUCAUUGUUUACAAGAUUAUGAACACAGUAUUGUAAAUGCAAUGCCAUGGAAUCAACCAAUCUAACUUUAAAUAUCUUCCAAUAAGCAACUGUUCUCAUCUUCAGAUCGAAAGCUUGUUGCAGGAUCAAAACGUUGGAGUGUUGUCUGAGAUGUUCGACUUGGAUUUUUCCGAAACCUUGGACUUCCCUGAGACAUUGGAUUUCUCUGAAACCUUGGAGAUCCUCAGGGUAAGGUGGCAACAUCAUGUCUGUUCCAGUUAUUUGGUUUAUGAAAUAGUCUUGUUGGUUCAUGAGCUCAUUCCACUCCCUCAUGUAAUCAGGGUUACAUGUAUAGCCUGUUAGUUUCUCCAUUUCUACAAUCUCUUUCACCCUAUUGAUUGAUUGCUCCCUCAGCUUUUGAACAAGAUUGUGAGCGGCUCCUUUCGCCGAUACCUUGAGCUGAUAAUACAUUUCCGAGUGGCGCGUCAAAACAGACGUCACCACAUCGUCUAUGUAAUCCCAAUACUUUUCGGUGAAUUUGAUAGGGAGAUACGAUAUCCUCUCGACUUUUCUCCGGAAGAUACGAAGGAAUGCUUCACAGGGAAGGAAGUUCGGUAGUUCGAUCCUCUUAGCAUCUUCCAAACCCUUGAUCUCUUCUGUUAAAAAGUCUUUCGACAGAUUACUUUCCUCGCAGUUGUGAAGUUCAUCGGAGAACCGGUUCAGCAUUUCCACAAACCGAGCAGUCCCGUGCUUCGUGUUGUCCUUGGGGUAUUCAUCAAAUUCCCAUCUCCAAAGAAGUUUCUUGAGGGAUUCUUUAGCUGCUUGAAUGAUCCACAUCAUAGCUUUAGUUGCAUCAGCAAUUGAAGUUAAGACCUUUGGCAUUUUCUCUAGCUCUGAAACAUUUGCAUCCAGCUUUGCACUAAUGUUUUUAACAAUCUCUGGAGAGCACUUUGCGAUUUCAUUAGCUUGAAUUUGAACAAGCUUUUGAGCCAAAACAUGAACACCCACAAUUGAUUUAUCAAUACAUAACAAAUGUGCAUUAGUUUCGAACAAUCUAGCCUCUUCCUUCCUUGCUUCUUCAUAGGAUUCAUCACCAAUCCGAUUCCGAACACAAACAUAUCCAAGUCCUAUAUUCACAUCAUCUGCAGUGUUGCGCGGAAGCGUGUGAAAGAGUAAAAUUAUUGUACUGAAAAAUCACACUAAGUUUAAUUCCCAGGAAAGAGAGGUGGAUCACGAGGAUCGCUUACAUACCAGAUCUUUCCUAGCCAGAAUAUCCCUCUAUCGUAAUUUAAUAGCACAAUAAAUCACUACAAUGACACUUGCAAAAAUAUGCAGAACAAAAAAUAAAGAACACUAGAAUUUUAACGAGGUUCAGCAAAUUUUGCCUACGUCCUCGGGCACUACCAAAUAUAUUUCACUCCAAAAAUACAAGUGAAAGUUUACAAAUAGGGAGAGAGAACAAUUGCCUUAAGUAGAGAAUGGCAAGUGUGGGAUGAAGAAAGUAAGAAAUGGUUAGGCCUAUUUAUAGUUGAGGUUUAAGGAUCAACUUGCAAUGUCCCUAUACAAUUAGGGACCAAAAUUACAAUUAUCCCAUGCCAACUAAUCUUACUUUCUACUUUCGGUGCCUUUCGGUGCCAACUUUCUGUCACUAUUCAUCUUUGAAAAGUCAAAGAUUGUAGGUAUCCAAUAAUCUCCACCUUGAAGAUUUGAUUAGGAUAAUCUUAUCUUCACACAAUUCUUUCUACCUUUGACAACAAUACUUGAUAGUGCCUUCUUCAACUGUUAAACUUGCAGGAUAUUGAUCAAGUUCAAACAAUGUUCGAACUUGGUUGUUGUUACCACCUUGGUCAUCAUAUCUGCGGGAUUAUCUGCAGUCUUGAUCUUCUGAAGACAAAUUUUCCCCUCUUCAAUAAUUUUCCACACAAAAUGGAAUCGUACGUCGAUAUGUUUUGUACGUGCAUGAUAGACUUGAUUCUUUGCUAAAUGAAUAGCACUUUGACUAUCACAAUACACGUUAAUAUGCUCCUGAACCAACCCCAAGGUUUUAGCCAUACCUUGUAACCAAAUAGCCUCCUUUACAGCCUCUGUUACAGCCAUGUAUUCGGCUUCUGUGGUUGACAAUGCAACUGUAGACUGUAGUGUAGACUUCCAACUUAUUGGUCCUCCAGCAAGUGUAAACACAUAACCGGUGGUUGAUCUUCGCUUGUCCAAAUCACCGGUAUAGUCAGAAUCAACGUACCCAAUAACACAUUUACCAAGUGUAUUAUCCUGCUUGAACAGUAAUCCAACAUCCACGGUCUUCUGAAUAUACCGUAGAAUCCAUUUCACAGCUUGCCAAUGUCCUUUUCCAGGAUUAUGCAUAUACCUGCUCACUAUACUAACUGCCUGUGAAAUGUCGGGUCUUGUACACACCAUUGCAUACAUCAAGCUACCCACUGCAUUAGAAUACGGAACUUGCAACAUGUAUUCUCGUUCCGUAUUCGUCGAAGGAGAUAGUUGUGCAGAAAGCUUGAAAUGAGAAGCCAACGGGGUACUUACAGGUUUGGUCUGCUCGUUCAUGCCAAACUGCUGUAGUACUUUCUUCAAAUACUGCUUCUGAGACAAGCUAACUCUGCCAUGAGCUCUAUCUCUACAUAUUUCCAUGCCGAGAAUCUUUUUAGCUUCUCCUAGAUCUUUCAUCUCAAACUCGAGAUUGAGUUGAGUCUUCAAUCUUUCAAUCUCAACUUUGCUCUUAGAUGCUAUUAGCAUAUCAUCAACAUAUAAGAGCAAGUAUAUGAAAGUUCCUUCUUGUAGCUUCUGAAAAUACACGCAAUGAUCAAAUUUACUUCUUGUGUACCUUUGCCCUUUCAUGAACUGAUCAAAUCGCUUGUACCACUGCCUCGGAGAUUGCUUCAAUCCAUAAAGCGACUUUGUCAGUUUGCAAACCCAAUUUUCUUUUCCAGCAACCUUGAAUCCAUCUGGCUGAGUCAUAUAGAUUUCCUCUUCCAAAUCACCGUGUAAAAACGCGGUCUUCACAUCAAGCUGAACUAGUUCAAGAUCAUAUUGCGCAACCAAGGCUAGCAAAAUCCGAAUAGACGAAUGCUUCACAACUGGAGAAAACACUUCAUUGUAGUCUAUUCCUUCUUUCUGAGUGUAACCCUUUGCUACCAAUCUAGCCUUGUAUCGAAUUUCAUUUUUACCAGGAAAUCCUUCCUUUUUUGCAUAUACCCAUUUGCAUCCAAUUGCCUUCUUUCCCUUGGGCAGUCUCACCAACUCCCAAGUCUUAUUUUUAUGAAGAGACUACAUUUCUUCAUUCAUAGCUUGCUUCCACUUUACACCAUCAGAGUUACUUAUUGCUUCUGUGUAAGUGGAAGGAACAUCAUCAUCUGCAAUUGGAAGUGCAUAGGCCACCAUAUCGUCAAAGCGAGCAGGCUUACGAAUCUCUCUUCUUGGCCUCCUAUAUGCAAUUGAAUCUUGUUGCUGUAGAAGUUCUUGGGUCGAAACUCCUUCAUCAUUUGUUCUUUCAAUAUUAGCUGGAUCAUCAUUAACCUUUUCAAACUCCACCUGCUGCAAAGUACUACUGGUUUUGUCAUCCUUUUGUGAAUCCUCGUUCUUCAUCAUGGUUGAUUCAUCAAAAGUUACAUCUCUACUGAAAACAAUCUUCCUUGUAUCAGGACACCAGAGACGGUAUCCUUUUACACCACCAGUUAUACCCAUGAAUAAUGCUUUCUUUGCUCUUGGGUCUAACUUAGAUUCUUUUACAUGAUAAUAUGCAGUGGAACCAAAAACAUGUAAAGAAUCAUAAUCAGUAGCAGGUUUACCAGUCCACAUCUCCAUAGGAGUUUUUUCAUUUAUUGCAGCUGAUGGCAAUCGGUUAAUUAGAUGGCACGCAUAUGUAACUGCCUCAGCCCAAAAUUCCUUGGCCAAUCCAGCAUUGGACAACAUACAUCGAACUUUCUCCAGUAUAGUCCGAUUCAUGCGUUCUGCCACCCCAUUCUGCUGUGGUGUAUCUCGAAUAGUGAAGUGUCGCACAAUGCCCUCAUCUUGACAUACUUGUAGAAAUGGAUCAUUUUUGUACUAAGUACCAUUAUCUGAUCGAAGUCGUUUGACCUUUCGACCUGUCUGAGUCUCCACCAUCUUCUUCCACUUCAGAAAUACAUCCAAAACUUCAUUUUUUCUUUUCAUUAGAUGCACCCAUACUUUUCUUGAAUAAUCAUCAAGAAAAGUGACAAAAUAGUGCAUACCUCCCAAAGAAGCCACUUUUGUAGGUCCCCACACAUCACUGUGAACAUAGUCCAGAAUUCCUUUCGUAUUGUGAAUUGCUGAACCAAAUUUUACCCUCGUCUGCUUGCCCAGAACACAAUGUUCACAGAAUUCCAAUUUGCAAGAAUUUUCACCUUUCAACAAGCCUUGCUUCGCCAAAGUCUGCAAAGCUUUUUCACCAGCAUGUCCCAAUCGUCUAUGCCAUAACCUGGUAGCCUCUGAAUCUGCAUCUUUCGCAGAAGCUGUUGAUGUUGAUCCAAUAACUGUACUUUCAUUUAAAUAGUACAAGUUAUUUCUUCUAGUGCUUUUCAUCACCGUCAAUACCCCUGCUACUACCUUUAGUAAUCCAUCUCUCAAAGUGAUUGUGAGCCCUUUAGAUUCUAGGGCCCCUAAUGAGAUGAGAUUUUUCUUCAAGCUGGGUACAUAGCGAACAUCUGUCAGAACUUGGAUUGAGCCGUCAUGGUUCUUCAAUUUGAUUGUACCUACACCCAUUGUCUUACAGGCACUAUCAUUGCCCAUAAAAACAACUCCACCUUCUAGUUCUUCAAGACUAGAAAACCAGUCCUUAUUAGGACACAUAUGGUAAGUACAUCCCGAAUCCAAUAUCCACUCAUCCGUUUGACAUGCCAUUGCCAUGCCAACCAAGCUAAAGUCUGACUCCUCAUCAUGCUCCGCUACACAUGCAUUAGAAAUAGACUUGCCCUUUUGUAACUUAGGACAAUUCUUUUUCCAAUGCCCUUUCUCACGACAAAAGGCACAUUCAUCUUUGGCGGGUCUCCCUUUGGACUUACCCCUUCUACCAGGUUUGCUGCUGUGUGAACGACCUCUUACUGUUAAGACUUCUGCAGUUGUAUCUCUGUGAUCUCUUUUAUCUUUCUUUCGAGUCUCAGAUCUAUACAACGCACUACAGACUGCAUCAAAUGUGAUUGAAUCUUUCCCAUGAAGCAAUGUGGUGGUAAGAUGAUCAUAUUCAUCAGGAAGGCAAUUCAACAACAAUAAUGCCUUGUCUUCAUCUUCAAAUUUCUCAUCCAAAUUUAGCAAGUCUGCUAAAAUUUUAUUGAAUGAGUUCACAUGAUCAUUCAUCGACAUACCGGGUGCAUACGUGAACCGAAAAAGUUUCUUUUUCAUAUAAAGCCUAUUUUCAAGACUUUUCGUUAGAAAUUUUUCUUCCAAUGUAUCCCACAGCUUCUUCGCUGAUGUCUCCCUCAUGACGGAGUACUUCUGCUCUUUGGCCAAACAUAGGCGGAUUGUACCACACGCCUGUCUAUUGAUCUUGGCCCACUCCUUAUCAUCCAUCUUGUCAGGUUUUUCUUCAAGGGCUAUAUCCAGCUCUUGCUGACAUAAGACAUCCAGGAUCUCACACUGCCACAUACCAAAAUUAUUGGUACUGUCAAAUUUCUCUACUUCAAAUUUUGCAUUUGUCACAGUAGUCCUUGCUGAUGACGAUGCUGCUGCCAUUUUUCUCCUCAAUCCCAACUACUGUAUACGUGAACAGUACUAUAUACGUGAAUAGUGCCGUAUACGUAAAUAGUACUGUAUACGUGAAUAGUGCCGUAUACGUGAAUAGUGCCGUAAACGGUCGUAUUCCCCAAGUACGAACCUGGCUCUGGUACCAAUUGUUGCGCGGAAGCGUGUGAAAGAGUAAAAUUAUUGUACUGAAAAAUCACACUAAGUUCAAUUCCCAGGAAAGAGAGGUGGAUCACGAGGAUCGCUUACAUACCAGAUCUUUCCUAGCCAGAAUAUCCCUCUAUCGUAAUUUAAUAGCACAAUAAAUCACUACAAUGACACUUGCAAAAUAUGCAGAACAAAAAAUAAAGAACACUAGAAUUUCAACGAGGUUCAGCAAAUUUUGCCUACGUCCUCGGGCACUACCAAAUAUAUUUCACUCCAAAAAUACAAGUGAAAGUUUACAAAUAGGGAGAGAGAACAAUUGCCUUAAGUAGAGAAUGGCAAGUGUGGGAUGAAGAAAGUAAGAAAUGGUUAGGCCUAUUUAUAGUUGAGGUUUAAGGAUCAACUUGCAAUGUCCCUAUACAAUUAGGGACCAAAAUUACAAUUAUCCCAUGCCAACUAAUCUUACUUUCUACUUUCGGUGCCUUUCGGUGCCAACUUUCUGCCACUAUUCAUCUUUGAAAAGUCAAAGAUUGUAGGUAUCCAAUAUGCAGUAACCUUGUCAACAAGCCCUUCAGGGGCCCUAUCUACUUUAGUAACCACAGCAAGAGUUCUCUCACCAUUCUUGUCCACUUGUUGCGACAUCCGAAUGGAUUCACAAGUUGAAAAAUCGACCGUGGCCGACAGAACAUUAAGGAUAAUGCUUUCCUUUGGUGUUAUGUACUGCAUGAUGAUGUCCCUGAUCUGCUCAUAUAUGUUGUUAGGCUGACCAUGGACAGGAACUCUGGUAAUUCCAGGAAGAUCAACCAUGGUAAGAUCAGGAACCCCAUCUUUUCUCACCACUAAAGUUAAAGGGGUGUCAGAUAUGCUCUUACCCGGGCCCGCAAUCUCAUCAGUUGCGAUGUUUAUGGCUGUUGCAAUCUGGGGUUCCUCCACUGGGACCAUUUUGCCAUUGUACUCCAAGUAAAGCUCUGGCCUUGGACUUGCAUGGUUCUGCAACCUGAUUAUGAGAGGUACCCUGGUGCAAAUUCCCUGGCUACGAGGAAGGUUAACGCCAGCCAAGGAUUCAAGAACACUAGACUUGCCUGAUGACUGGUCUCCGACCACAACAAUUGUGGGGAGCUGUAUGCCUUCUUUCAUCACCAUGAGCAGCCUGAGCCUGUCGAUGACAUCAAGCAAAGGUCGGAUUUUGUCGUUGAAUGAUGAAAUAAUUGGGGCUUGAGCUGCUGCUGCUGUCACCACCCUAGGUUGGUCCAUAGGAGGAGUUGCUGGUUGAGAAUCUUCAUAAUCAUUGAUGAAACCCAUGCUCCCUGAAUCAGCUUCAUCAUAGCUACCCAUUUUUUAGAAGUCGAGACAGGAGUGGGAAUUGGCCAAACUUGAUGUUUUAGAUGGUUUUUUUGUUGGAAGUUGGAAAGCAACAAGUUUUAACUUAAGUGAAGACAAACUCAAUGAAGCAUGCUUGGCUUGAUAAUGACAAUUAAAAUAGGGUAAAGCACCAAAAAUAGGAUCAAUAAGGUGAUAGCAUCCUAUACCAAAUCCCAAGAAACAUUCAGAGGAAGCUACAAUGGGAAUGGAAACUUUAUGUUAUACUUUUUAUUGUAGAAAAUACAACUUAUAUUCUGUAUUGGAUUGUAGAGAAUAGUGAAACAAGGACGCAAGAGAGGAAAUAGAACAAAAUCAAAUCGGAACCAAUCAGACGAUGAGUGCGUCGAUAACAGAACAAGUUCCUACAAGAACUAGAUACCAAGUAUAUUUUUCUCUUUAUUCCUUGUUUUGUGGAUUAUAUAACGAAUAUUGAUGUACUAUAUUUUUCUCUUUAUUCCUUGUUUUUGGAUUAUAUAACGAAUAUUGAUGUACGAUAUUUUUCUCUUUAUUCCUUAUUUUUGGAUUAUUUAACGAAUAUUGAUGUACGAUAAUACUUUGGUAUUGUUUUUACGUCAAAACAAAUAUGAUAUUGGACUUCUUCCCCCAAACAUUUAGACUGAUCAGUUAUUAUUCGAAAAAUUUUACCUAAAUACCAUAUUAAUAGAUGAGAACAUCUGUAUUUAAAAAUAAAAAUCCAAAAAGAUGAUUGCAUACCAAGGCAUGGAACAUUGGAAUCUUGCUACACAAAAAAGCAAAACAUGCAAUAAGCAAACCAUGAUGAUGACCCAAAUUUUAUGUGAAAAUAUUUAAAUUUAAUUUGGGUUAUUUUACUGUAAAAUAUUUUAGCUUUGUCUCCUAUUUUUAUAAUUUUAUCUUAGCUUUUCAUCAUAUAAUUCAUGAUUUCGCCUGAUAUCGUGAGAUUUAAUGUUAAUAUUUUAAGUAUUCAAAUCUCGGAUAGUUUAUGAACAAAGUUUCGAAAGAAAGAUGAUGGAAUAUUGACCUUGCAGCUGUAUAAGAGCUAGAAAGUAAUAUUAUAAAAAGAUUGGAGAUUAUAAGUUAAACACUUGGAAUUAUUGAAAAGUUGUUGCAGGAAGUUCGGUAGUUCGAUCCCCACACUGUCGGAUUCGCUUUGAGAGUAUGUGAAAUUCAUUAUACUCUAGAGCUCUCAAAGGGGACAUGCAAAGAGGCUUCGAAAGAAAAUUGCAUGAAGUUCCCACAAUGUCUCAUUGGCUUCAUUUAGAUAUUUUAAUCUUUAAUCAUUUUAUUUUAUAUAAAAAAUUGAACUCAUAAAAAAUUUAUUUCAAAUUAUUCUAAUUUUUAUUUUUCAAUUUUUAGCGUAAAUAUUGAUUUUUGUGUAAUUUUUUGUAAUUCAAUUGUUAAAGUAUGUAGUUUCAUACAUAAUUAUUGUUGUUUCAAUUGUUAAAGUAUGUAGUUUCAUACAUAAUUAUUGUUGUUAAUUUAGAAUAGCUAUGAAUGGGGGAUGCAUUGAGUUUGAAAUAUUUUAAGUAAUUUAUCAAAUUUUAUAACAUUAGUUAAAAUUAAAAGAAUAUAUAUUUACUCUCUCUUUUUUCUCUUUGUAUCGAAUAUGGUGUCUGAUUCUGUUUUGAUAAUAUCUGCUUUUUUUGACAUAAUAUCUAGAAGUACCUGUAGCCCCUUUUUAAGCCAUAAAUAAGAGGAUAAUAUGCUUCUGCGCACAAAAACUUAUAUCUUCCUACAUUGACAAUUAAGUUAAGACUCGAUUGGCAAGAUUUUAAAGAAAACAAAAUAAAGAAAAACUAAUCCCCCAAUUUACCGUCCACAGUAGUUCUGACAUUAUUAUAUAAUCUUCAAUUCUUUAUAAUCUAUGCUAUAUAUAUAGAGUACAGACACUUGCAGCAUGUAAUAAAGCAAACCAUGAUGAUGACCUAAAUUUUAUGUGAAAAUAUUAAACCAAGUAAGCAUCAUAAACAACAAUCCUGUCCAUGACCUUGGCCGCACUAUCUUUGGACUCCUUUAACACCUUGAUGCUGUUUUUAAGCUUCUCACGCUUUGCAACAAUGGCAGGAGAUUCCACCAGCAUCAUCUUUAUCCCAUGUCCAUCUGGUCCCAUCAGCUCCUUCAUAAUCUCAUCAGUGUCAUUGUGUACAAGAUUAUGAACAUGGUAUUGCAAAUGCAAUGCCAUGGAAUCAACCAAUCUCACCUUAAAUAUCUUCCAAUAAGCAACCAUUCUCAUCUUCAGGGCGAAAGCUUGUUGCAGGAUCGAAACAUUCGAGUGUUGUCUGAGAUGUUCGACUUGGAUUUCCCCGAAACCUUGGAGGUUCACACAGCAAGGCAGCGGCCCCAUGUUUGUUCCAGAUAUUUGGUUUAUGAAAUGGUCUUGUUCCUUCAUGAGCUUAUUCCACUCCAUCAUGUAAUCAGGGUUACAUGUAUAGCCUGUUAGCUUCUCCAUUUCUACUAUCUCUUUCACCCUAUUGAUUGAUUGCUCCCUCAGCUUUUGAACAAGGUUGUGAGCAGCUCCUUUCGCGAAUACCUUGACGUGAUAAUACAUUUCCCAGUGGCGCGUCAAAACAGACAUCACCACAUCGUCUAUGUAAUCCCAAUACUUUUCGGUGAACUUGAUAGGGAGAUAUGAUAUCCUCUCGACUUUUUUCCGUAAGAUACGAAGGAAUGCUUCAAAGGGAGGGAAGUUCGGUAGUUCGAUCCCCUUAGCAUCUUCCAAACCCUUGAUCUCUUCUGUUAAAAAGUCUUUUGAUAGAUUACUUUCCUCGCAGUUGUGAAGCUCAUCGGAGAACCGGUUCAGCAUUUCGACAAACCGAGCAGUCCCGUGCUUCGUGUUGUCCUCGGGGUAUUCAUCAAAUUCCCCCCUCCAAAGAAGCUUCUUGAGGGAUUCUUUAGCUGCUUGAAUGAUCCUCAUCAUAGCUUGAGUGGCAUCAGCAUCAGAAGUUAAGGCCUUUGGCAUUUUCUCUAGCUCUGAAACAUUUGCUUCCAGCUUUGCACUAAUGUUUUUAACAAUCUCAGGCAAGCACUUUGCAAUUUCAUUAGCUUGAAUUCGGACAAGCUUUUGAGCCAAAACAUGAACACCCACAAUUGAUUUAUCAAUACAUGACAAAUGUGCAUUAGUUUCGAACAAUCUAGCCUCUUCCUUCCUUGCUUCUUCAUAGGAUUCAUCACCAAUCCGAUUCCGAACACAAACAUAACCAAGUCCUAUAUUCACAUCAUCUGCAGUAACCUUGUCAACAAGCCCUUCGGGGGCCCUAUCUACUUUAGUAACCACAGCAAGAGUUCUCUCACCAUUCUUGUCCACUUGUUGCGACAUCCUAAUGGAUUCACAAGUUGAAAAAUCAACCGUAGCCGACAGAACAUUAAGGAUAAUGCUUUCCUUUGGUGUUAUGUACUGCAUGAUGAUGUCCCGGAUCUGCUCAUAUAUGUUGUCAGGCUGACCAUGGACAGGAACUCUGGUAAUUCCAGGAAGAUCAACCAUGGUAAGAUCAGGAACCCCGUCUUUUCUCACCACCAAAGUCAAAGGGAUGUCAGAUAUGCUCUUACCCGGGCCUGCAAUCUCAUCAGUUGCAAUGUUUAUGGCUGUUGCAAUCUGGGGUUCCUCCACUGGGACCAUUUUGCCAUUGUACUCCAAGUAGAGCUCUGGCCUUGGCCUUGCAUGGUUCUGCAACUUGAUUAUGAGAGGUACCCUGGUGCAAAUUCCCUGGCUACGAGGAAGGUUAACACCAGCCAAGGAUUCAAGAACACUAGACUUGCCUGAUGACUGGUCUCCAACCACAACAAUUGUGGGGAGCUGUAUGCCUUCUUUCAUCACCAUGAGCAGCCUGAGCCUGUCGAUGACAUCAAGCAAAGGUCGGAUUUUGUCAUUGUAUGAUGAAAUAAUUGGAGCUUGAGCUGCUGCUGCUCCCACCACAUUAGGUUGUUCCAUAGGAGGAGUUGCUGGUUGAGAAUCUUCAUAAUCAAUGAUAACAUCAAUGCUCCCUGAAUCAGAUUCAUCAUCGCUACCCAUUUUUUAGAAGUCGAGACAGGAGUGGGAAUUGGCCAAACUUGAUGUUUUUUAUGGUUUUUUUGUUGGAAGUUGGAAAGCAAUAAACUUAAACUAAAGUGAAGAAAAAUUCAAUGAAGCAUAUUUGGCUUUAUAAUGAAAAUUAAAAUAGGGUAAAGCACCAAAAAUAGGCACAAUAAAGCGAUAGCAUCCUAUACCAAACCCCAAGAAACAAUCAAAGGAAGCUACAAUGGGAAUGGAAAACUUUAGGUUAUACUUUGAAUUGUAGAAAAUACAUCUUAUAUUCCGUAUUGGAUUGUAGAAAAUAAUGAUACAAGGACAGAAGAGAGGAAACAGAUCAAAAUCAAAUCGUGACCAACCAAAAGAUGAGUGUGUCGAUGACAGAAAGUUCGAAACAUAAACAGCCCCACUAAUUCCUACAGGAACUACACAGCAGAACUAUAUGAAACAAUGUAUUCACAUUGAAGUUUCGGAUAGAUGUCACGUACAAGCCAUGUUGCCAUUAACUCAUAUGCUCUUUGUGUCAAAUGAACUCCAUCCCAACUAAGCCGUUCAUUAGGGUUUUCGCAUACCGGUACUUUUGGAUCUCCGCACCAACUUGAUAAGCCAUAAUUGUAGUCUCCCCCAAUUCCGCAGCAAGCCUUUUGCAAUGAUAUUGGAUCAAAACCUAAUGAGAUUUUUCGAAAACUCAGAACAUGACUAGAACCAUUCACAGUACGGUCUCAUAAACUUAUGGAUGCAAAUAAAUCAGACUUACCAAGCAGAUCAGCUUUGCUCAAAAGCCACAGGAAUGCAUUGUAGUAGUCACCGUAGACAACGGUUUCAUCUGGAUGUUCUUCUUUUAGCUCAGCAAUAGCUUGUUGAAGAAGAUAAUUAUGAUAGAUUGAAAAAUUAUUCAACUCCUUUAAACAAUGAAGUUCAUCAUAAGCAGUAGAAUCAUUUGUUUGGUAUUUGGUGAGAUAUACAGGAAAGCAGCCUAUGGGGAAGUUUCCAGGAACAACUAACCGAGUAGCACCAUAUCCGAUAACUCUCUACACAGUGGAACUUAUGAGAAACAGGGUUUCAAUGAUUAGAAGUGAUAUAAUCAGAUGUCUCUUGAAAGGAAACUUACUUUGGUAGCUUGUUUUAUCGUUUCUACUACCUCGGGCACCAUGGUCUUAACCUCUUCUAUGGUUUUUCCUUGCCAAAAGGCGUAGUUAUAGUCAUUUCCUCCGAUCUCCCCAACCAUGAAAAGAGCUUUUCCAUUUUUCUUGAAGCAAUCUACCAAAUAUAACACCUCAAGUGGUUAUUUGUGUUAAUCCAUUCUGAACAUCGUUAUUAUACCUGAUUACCUAACCAGGAGGCCUCAUUAGACCAACCGCUCCAUCAUGGAGGUCUCGCCUGCAUGAUAGCUCAACCAACUAAAGACACUCAUGUGCCUUGUCACACGAGCCACCACAAGGUCAUAUCAAGAUCCACUCAGGACCUGCUCCUGUCACAUCUAGUACAGGCUCUAUCACUCGACCAUUAAGUCUACAAGAAUAAUCUAUCUUCAACCUCUGCUAGCAGCUCUUGACACUCACGUGUGAGCCACCUUCAACCUCUUCCACCACAUCCUAUAUCAACAAACAUAUAUAUAUAUAUAUAUAGGAAAGAUGCUAACCUUUGUUACCACGACAAGUUGUAUUGAAAUAGCUAAACAUCUAGUCAAGUUGUCUACUUAAAGAUAUGCUGGUAGGCACAAAGGAAACAUUCCACUUGGCUAAAUCUUCUGCAGACAUGGCAGUAGCUCCGGCAAACGCGAAAUUAAGCCCAUAAUCAAAUAAUCCAUCUUUGUUUAAGUAAGGAUCAAGAAAAGGAAUUCCAGCAGAUAGUGCUGUUCAAAUGUUCAAAACACGAAACAGUAAACACACUGGUUAAAAAAAAGUUAAUUAAACCAACAAAAAUCAAUACAAAUAUAAUCAUUAAUCAUCUUCCUAAACCUUUCUAGUAUGGGGUUGACACUUUUUUAGAGAAAAAAGAGAUUGAUUCUUCUCCAAGCAAUGCACCCAACGUGUAUGGUCUCAGUGAAGCUUUUGAUUAGAAUUUAGUAUUUUACCUAUAUAAUCAAUCAUCAACAAACCAUCGGAGCAUCUCCCAGUUGCUUUCUUGAAGGUUUCUCCAUAUGGUAACCUUGCAAAUUUUGAUAAAGGGUUGUCUUGCACAUCAUUACCCGUAUCUGCUAUGGAAUCCCCGAGCUGAUAUAUGGCAUCGAAAUUGCAGCUGCUAAGGAUAUGUUGAUUGUUGCAUGUAACGAAGUUGAAGAAAGAGAUGAUAAUUAGUAUAGAGAACACAAAACCUGGUGGUGAAGAUUUACUAGAAGCCAUAUAUGCAGAAAUGGUAUUACUGGGUAUUUAGCAUCUAAAUCUUAGCUCCCCCUAAAAAGGUAUAUAGUUGUGCUCCUACAGGUAGCUUUGAAUCAGGGACGGCACCAAAGGGGCAGUCAAAGGCCUUAGCACCCCCCAAACGGAAAAUUAUUAUUUUAGUCCCUUGAAAUUUUUUAAAUUAUAAGUUAGGUAAAAAUACACUUUGACCCCACAAGAUGAUUUUUUUUUAAUUUAAUUCUUUUAAGAUUAUAAAUAACAAACAUAUAGAAAGAUAAAAUUAUAUUUUAGCCUUUUUAAAAUUAUAUAAUUUAAUUUUAGCCUCAAAAAUAAAGUCUUGACUUGGUCCUUUCGUAUACCUACUCUUAGACAAAAAAAAAAUCAUUUUAUUUAAGCUUUUUGUUUAUUAAUAAUGAGUUUUUUUUUUCUCAAUGAUUCAUUAAAUACAAUUAAAAAAUAUUUGGAAGAGAAAUCUAGCAGUAGACUAGAUAGUUAAGAUGAUAUCUAACAGAGAGGUCGAUGUACGAGUGUUUGUUGAAGCUCCUAUGUAACUUUUAACAAUUUUACAAACUGAUAGAGGUAAUGGUUUCUUUGAUCAUUUAUUUUUAAUACGAGUAAAGAAACCUAAUUAUUUAAUUAUGGGUAAACUACACAAGGAGUCACCCAACUAUGAAGAGUUAAAAAAAAGACAAUGGUGGUAACUUUUAAAAUUAGCAUAAUAGCAAUUUAACCCUUAACAUUUAUAUAUUGUAUCAAUUUAGUCUUGAUUCUAUUUUUUUUUUAACUCUCAACAUUUACACAUUGUAUAAUUUAGUCUUUCUUUUUGUAAUUUUGUUUUUCUUUGUGACAUUGAGGGUUAAUUUUAAAAGAAAAAGAAAAGAUAAAAAGUAUUAUCUUGGAUUUCUGGGUGCUCCUAUUUUUUUAUAUAUUUUUAAUCAAAUUGAACUGAUAAAUUUAUUUUUAACUUUUUAGUUAAAAGAGUAAAGAAAAACAAAGUUGUACAAAAAAAAAAAUCAAACUACGCAAUGUAUAAAUGUUGAGAGUUAAUUGUUUGAGGAAACAAGAUUAAAUUGACAUAAUUUAUAAAUAUUAAGGGUUAAAGUUGAUAUUAUGCUAAUUUUUAAAAGUUGCCAUUGAUGAUCAGUGACCAAAAAAGACAAAAGCGAAUAAUUUAGUGAUCAUUUUGUAACUUUUCAUAAUUAAAUGACAAAAAAAUUACGUAAUUUAAUCUUUAAUUAUUUGUUUUGGACAUUGAUUAUUUAAUAACUAAUAACAUUCAAUAAUUGACGUUAAAAAAUUGUUUGUAUGAUGAAGUCAUUGUCAUCACCCAAAAGAUGUACAUAUAAAAGGAGUCACAAUCGGCCUCUACCAAAUUGAUUUUAGAAAGUAGACGCUAACUAUUUGAAAUAUAAUUGUUGUAUCUUAAUUUAUAAGUUAUUAUAUUAUUAUAUAAGCAUAAUUUUCUUUUGGUAGAUAAAGAUUAUUUCUUUCUAAAUAAUCUUUCAAAGUUAUUAAAUAAUCGUUGAAUUUUUUUGUAAUUUGGAGUACAAAAUUAAGUGAAUGUUAACGUGUUUGAGGCGAAUCUCGAUGAACAUGUCAUGCAAAUGCAACGCAUAGCUAAAGGAGUAGAUAAGAGCUUUAGACCUCUUAAAUGUCAGUUGUUCAAUUUAGUUCCUUUCUAGCUUUUAUUUAAAUGGAACAAUUGUAAUUUACACCCUUUUCAAAUGUUUAAAUUUAAUUUGGGUUAUUCUAAUGUAAAAAGUUUUAGCUUUGUCCCCUAUUUUUUUAAUUUUAUCUUGGCUCUUCAUCACAUAAUUCAUGACUUCGCCUGAUACUGUGAGACCCAAUGUUAAUAUUUUAAGUAUUCAAAUCUCGGAUCGUUUAUGAACAAAAUUUUGAAAGAAAGAUGAUGGAAUAUUGACCUUGUAGCUGUAUAAGAGCUAGAAAGUAAUAUUAUAAAAAGAUUGGAGAUUAUAAGUUAAACACUUGGAAUUAUCGAAAAGUUGUUGCAGGAAGUUCGGUAGUUUGAUCGCCUUAGCUAACCUUCAAAGAUUCUUCAUCAAUUUAGACACCGAAAUCCCCACACUGUCAGAUUCGCUUUGAAAGAAGAGUAUGUGAAAUCCAUUAUACUCUAGAGCUCUCAAAGGGGCCAUGCAAAGAGGCUUCGAAAGAAAAUUGCAUGAAGUUCCCACAAUGUGUCAUUGGUUUCAUUAUGAUAUUUUAACCUUUAAUCAUUUUAUUUUAUAUAAAAAAAUUUGAACUGAUAAAAAAUUGAUUUCAAAUUAUUUCUAUUUUUAUUUUUCAAUUUUUAGUGUCAUUAUUAAUUUUUGUGUAAUUCAAUUGUUAAAGUAUGUAGUUUGACACAUAAUUAUUGUUGUUAAUUUAGGAUAGCCAUGAAUGGGAUGCAUUGAGUUUGAAAUAUUUUAAGUAAAUUAUCAAAUUUUAUAAUAUUAGUUAAAAUUAAAAGAAUAUAUAUUUACUCCUUUCUUUUUUUCUCUUUGUAUCUUGAUUUGUGGAUUAGGUAACGAAUAUUGGUGUCCAAUUAUGUUAUGAUAAUAUAUACUUUUUUUUAUACAAUUUCUAGAAGUACUUGUAGCCUCUCUUAAGCCAUAAAUAGAAGGAUGAUAUGCUUCAGCGCACAAAAACUUACGUUUUCCUACAUUAGCAAUUGAGUUAAAACUCGAUCGGCAAAAUUUUAAAGAAAACAAAAUAAAUAAAAACUAAUCCCCCAAUUUACCGUCCACAGUAGUUCUGACAUUAUUAUAUGAUCUUCAAAUCUUUAUAAUCUAUACUAUAUAUAUAGAAUACAGACACUUGCAGCAUGUAAUAAAGCAAACCAUGAUGAUGACCUAAAUUUUAUGUGAAAAUAUUAAACCAAGUAAGCAUCAUAAACAACAAUCCUGUCCAUGACCUUGGCCACACUAUCUUUGGACUCCUUUAACACCUUGAUGCUGUUUUUAAGAUUCUCACGCUUUGCAACAAUGGCAGGAGAUUCCACCAGCAUCUUCUCCAUCCCAUGUCCAUCUGGUCCCAUCAGCUCCUUCACAAUCUCAUCAAUGUCAUUGUUUACAAGAUUAUGAACACAGUAUUGUAAAUGCAAUGCCAUGGAAUCAACCAAUCUAACUUUAAAUAUCUUCCAAUAAGCAACUGUUCUCAUCUUCAGAUCGAAAGCUUGUUGCAGGAUCAAAACGUUGGAGUGUUGUCUGAGAUGUUCGACUUGGAUUUUUCCGAAACCUUGGACCUCCCUGAGACCUUGGAUUUCUCUGAAACCUUGGAGAUCCUCAGGGUAAGGUGGCAACAUCAUGUCUGUUCCAGUUAUUUGGUUUAUGAAAUAGUCUUGUUGGUUCAUGAGCUCAUUCCACUCCCUCAUGUAAUCAGGGUUACAUGUAUAGCCUGUUAGUUUCUCCAUUUCUACAAUCUCUUUCACCCUAUUGAUUGAUUGCUCCCUCAGCUUUUGAACAAGAUUGUGAGCGGCUCCUUUCGCCGAUACCUUGAGCUGAUAAUACAUUUCCGAGUGGCGCGUCAAAACAGACGUCACCACAUCGUCUAUGUAAUCCCAAUACUUUUCGGUGAAUUUGAUAGGGAGAUACGAUAUCCUCUCGACUUUUCUCCGGAAGAUACGAAGGAAUGCUUCACAGGGAAGGAAGUUCGGUAGUUCGAUCCUCUUAGCAUCUUCCAAACCCUUGAUCUCUUCUGUUAAAAAGUCUUUCGACAGAUUACUUUCCUCGCAGUUGUGAAGUUCAUCGGAGAACCGGUUCAGCAUUUCCACAAACCGAGCAGUCCCGUGCUUCGUGUUGUCCUCGGGGUAUUCAUCAAAUUCCCCUCUCCAAAGAAGUUUCUUGAGGGAUUCUUUAGCUGCUUGAAUGAUCCACAUCAUAGCUUUAGUUGCAUCAGCAAUUGAAGUUAAGACCUUUGGCAUUUUCUCUAGCUCUGAAACAUUUGCAUCCAGCUUUGCACUAAUGUUUUUAACAAUCUCUGGAGAGCACUUUGCAAUUUCAUUAGCUUGAAUUUGAACAAGCUUUUGAGCCAAAACAUGAACACCCACAAUUGAUUUAUCAAUACAUGACAAAUGUGCAUUAGUUUCGAACAAUCUAGCCUCUUCCUUCCUUGCUUCUUCAUAGGAUUCAUCACCAAUCCGAUUCCGAACACAAACAUAUCCAAGUCCUAUAUUCACAUCAUCUGCAGUAACCUUGUCAACAAGCCCUUCAGGGGCCCUAUCUACUUUAGUAACCACAGCAAGAGUUCUCUCACCAUUCUUGUCCACUUGUUGCGACAUCCGAAUGGAUUCACAAGUUGAAAAAUCGACCGUGGCCGACAGAACAUUAAGGAUAAUGCUUUCCUUUGGUGUUAUGUACUGCAUGAUGAUGUCCCUGAUCUGCUCAUAUAUGUUGUUAGGCUGACCAUGGACAGGAACUCUGGUAAUUCCAGGAAGAUCAACCAUGGUAAGAUCAGGAACCCCAUCUUUUCUCACCACUAAAGUUAAAGGGGUGUCAGAUAUGCUCUUACCCGGGCCCGCAAUCUCAUCAGUUGCGAUGUUUAUGGCUGUUGCAAUCUGGGGUUCCUCCACUGGGACCAUUUUGCCAUUGUACUCCAAGUAAAGCUCUGGCCUUGGACUUGCAUGGUUCUGCAACCUGAUUAUGAGAGGUACCCUGGUGCAAAUUCCCUGGCUACGAGGAAGGUUAACGCCAGCCAAGGAUUCAAGAACACUAGACUUGCCUGAUGACUGGUCUCCGACCACAACAAUUGUGGGGAGCUGUAUGCCUUCUUUCAUCACCAUGAGCAGCCUGAGCCUGUCGAUGACAUCAAGCAAAGGUCGGAUUUUGUCGUUGAAUGAUGAAAUAAUUGGGGCUUGAGCUGCUGCUGCUGUCACCACCCUAGGUUGGUCCAUAGGAGGAGUUGCUGGUUGAGAAUCUUCAUAAUCAUUGAUGAAACCCAUGCUCCCUGAAUCAGCUUCAUCAUAGCUACCCAUUUUUUAGAAGUCGAGACAGGAGUGGGAAUUGGCCAAACUUGAUGUUUUAGAUGGUUUUUUUGUUGGAAGUUGGAAAGCAACAAGUUUUAACUUAAGUGAAGACAAACUCAAUGAAGCAUGCUUGGCUUGAUAAUGACAAUUAAAAUAGGGUAAAGCACCAAAAAUAGGAUCAAUAAGGUGAUAGCAUCCUAUACCAAAUCCCAAGAAACAUUCAGAGGAAGCUACAAUGGGAAUGGAAACUUUAUGUUAUACUUUUUAUUGUAGAAAAUACAACUUAUAUUCUGUAUUGGAUUGUAGAGAAUAGUGAAACAAGGACGCAAGAGAGGAAAUAGAACAAAAUCAAAUCGGAACCAAUCAGACGAUGAGUGCGUCGAUAACAGAACAAGUUCCUACAAGAACUAGAUACCAAGUAUAUUUUUCUCUUUAUUCCUUGUUUUGUGGAUUAUAUAACGAAUAUUGAUGUACUAUAUUUUUCUCUUUAUUCCUUGUUUUUGGAUUAUAUAACGAAUAUUGAUGUACGAUAUUUUUCUCUUUAUUCCUUAUUUUUGGAUUAUUUAACGAAUAUUGAUGUACGAUAAUACUUUGGUAUUGUUUUUACGUCAAAACAAAUAUGAUAUUGGACUUCUUCCCCCAAACAUUUAGACUGAUCAGUUAUUAUUCGAAAAAUUUUACCUAAAUACCAUAUUAAUAGAUGAGAACAUCUGUAUUUAAAAAUAAAAAUCCAAAAAGAUGAUUGCAUACCAAGGCAUGGAACAUUGGAAUCUUGCUACACAAAAAAGCAAAACAUGCAAUAAGCAAACCAUGAUGAUGACCCAAAUUUUAUGUGAAAAUAUUUAAAUUUAAUUUGGGUUAUUUUACUGUAAAAUAUUUUAGCUUUGUCUCCUAUUUUUAUAAUUUUAUCUUAGCUUUUCAUCAUAUAAUUCAUGAUUUCGCCUGAUAUCGUGAGAUUUAAUGUUAAUAUUUUAAGUAUUCAAAUCUCGGAUAGUUUAUGAACAAAGUUUCGAAAGAAAGAUGAUGGAAUAUUGACCUUGCAGCUGUAUAAGAGCUAGAAAGUAAUAUUAUAAAAAGAUUGGAGAUUAUAAGUUAAACACUUGGAAUUAUUGAAAAGUUGUUGCAGGAAGUUCGGUAGUUCGAUCCCCACACUGUCGGAUUCGCUUUGAGAGUAUGUGAAAUUCAUUAUACUCUAGAGCUCUCAAAGGGGACAUGCAAAGAGGCUUCGAAAGAAAAUUGCAUGAAGUUCCCACAAUGUCUCAUUGGCUUCAUUUAGAUAUUUUAAUCUUUAAUCAUUUUAUUUUAUAUAAAAAAUUGAACUCAUAAAAAUUUAUUUCAAAUUAUUCUAAUUUUUAUUUUUCAAUUUUUAGCGUAAAUAUUGAUUUUUGUGUAAUUUUUUGUAAUUCAAUUGUUAAAGUAUGUAGUUUCAUACAUAAUUAUUGUUGUUUCAAUUGUUAAAGUAUGUAGUUUCAUACAUAAUUAUUGUUGUUAAUUUAGAAUAGCUAUGAAUGGGGGAUGCAUUGAGUUUGAAAUAUUUUAAGUAAUUUAUCAAAUUUUAUAACAUUAGUUAAAAUUAAAAGAAUAUAUAUUUACUCUCUCUUUUUUCUCUUUGUAUCGAAUAUGGUGUCUGAUUCUGUUUUGAUAAUAUCUGCUUUUUUUGACAUAAUAUCUAGAAGUACCUGUAGCCCCUUUUUAAGCCAUAAAUAAGAGGAUAAUAUGCUUCUGCGCACAAAAACUUAUAUCUUCCUACAUUGACAAUUAAGUUAAGACUCGAUUGGCAAGAUUUUAAAGAAAACAAAAUAAAGAAAAACUAAUCCCCCAAUUUACCGUCCACAGUAGUUCUGACAUUAUUAUAUAAUCUUCAAUUCUUUAUAAUCUAUGCUAUAUAUAUAGAGUACAGACACUUGCAGCAUGUAAUAAAGCAAACCAUGAUGAUGACCUAAAUUUUAUGUGAAAAUAUUAAACCAAGUAAGCAUCAUAAACAGCAAUCCUGUCCAUGACCUUGGCCGCACUAUCUUUGGACUCCUUUAACACAUUGAUGCUGUUUUUAAGCUUCUCACGCUUUGCAACAAUGGCAGGAGAUUCCACCAGCAUCAUCUUUAUCCCAUGUCCAUCUGGUCCCAUCAGCUCCUUCAUAAUCUCAUCAGUGUCAUUGUGUACAAGAUUAUGAACAUGGUAUUGCAAAUGCAAUGCCAUGGAAUCAACCAAUCUCACCUUAAAUAUCUUCCAAUAAGCAACCAUUCUCAUCUUCAGGGCGAAAGCUUGUUGCAGGAUCGAAACAUUCGAGUGUUGUCUGAGAUGUUCGACUUGGAUUUCCCCGAAACCUUGGAGGUUCACACAGCAAGGCAGCGGCCCCAUGUUUGUUCCAGAUAUUUGGUUUAUGAAAUGGUCUUGUUCCUUCAUGAGCUUAUUCCACUCCAUCAUGUAAUCAGGGUUACAUGUAUAGCCUGUUAGCUUCUCCAUUUCUACUAUCUCUUUCACCCUAUUGAUUGAUUGCUCCCUCAGCUUUUGAACAAGGUUGUGAGCAGCUCCUUUCGCGAAUACCUUGACGUGAUAAUACAUUUCCCAGUGGCGCGUCAAAACAGACAUCACCACAUCGUCUAUGUAAUCCCAAUACUUUUCGGUGAACUUGAUAGGGAGAUAUGAUAUCCUCUCGACUUUUUUCCGUAAGAUACGAAGGAAUGCUUCAAAGGGAAGGAAGUUCGGUAGUUCGAUCCCCUUAGCAUCUUCCAAACCCUUGAUCUCUUCUGUUAAAAAGUCUUUUGAUAGAUUACUUUCCUCGCAGUUGUGAAGCUCAUCGGAGAACCGGUUCAGCAUUUCGACAAACCGAGCAGUCCCGUGCUUCGUGUUGUCCUCGGGGUAUUCAUCAAAUUCCCCCCUCCAAAGAAGCUUCUUGAGGGAUUCUUUAGCUGCUUGAAUGAUCCUCAUCAUAGCUUGAGUGGCAUCAGCAUCAGAAGUUAAGGCCUUUGGCAUUUUCUCUAGCUCUGAAACAUUUGCUUCCAGCUUUGCACUAAUGUUUUUAACAAUCUCAGGCAAGCACUUUGCAAUUUCAUUAGCUUGAAUUCGGACAAGCUUUUGAGCCAAAACAUGAACACCCACAAUUGAUUUAUCAAUACAUGACAAAUGUGCAUUAGUUUCGAACAAUCUAGCCUCUUCCUUCCUUGCUUCUUCAUAGGAUUCAUCACCAAUCCGAUUCCGAACACAAACAUAACCAAGUCCUAUAUUCACAUCAUCUGCAGUAACCUUGUCAACAAGCCCUUCGGGGGCCCUAUCUACUUUAGUAACCACAGCAAGAGUUCUCUCACCAUUCUUGUCCACUUGUUGCGACAUCCUAAUGGAUUCACAAGUUGAAAAAUCAACCGUAGCCGACAGAACAUUAAGGAUAAUGCUUUCCUUUGGUGUUAUGUACUGCAUGAUGAUGUCCCGGAUCUGCUCAUAUAUGUUGUCAGGCUGACCAUGGACAGGAACUCUGGUAAUUCCAGGAAGAUCAACCAUGGUAAGAUCAGGAACCCCGUCUUUUCUCACCACCAAAGUCAAAGGGAUGUCAGAUAUGCUCUUACCCGGGCCUGCAAUCUCAUCAGUUGCAAUGUUUAUGGCUGUUGCAAUCUGGGGUUCCUCCACUGGGACCAUUUUGCCAUUGUACUCCAAGUAGAGCUCUGGCCUUGGCCUUGCAUGGUUCUGCAACUUGAUUAUGAGAGGUACCCUGGUGCAAAUGCCCUGGCUACGAGGAAGGUUAACACCAGCCAAGGAUUCAAGAACACUAGACUUGCCUGAUGACUGGUCUCCAACCACAACAAUUGUGGGGAGCUGUAUGCCUUCUUUCAUCACCAUGAGCAGCCUGAGCCUGUCGAUGACAUCAAGCAAAGGUCGGAUUUUGUCAUUGUAUGAUGAAAUAAUUGGAGCUUGAGCUGCUGCUGCUCCCACCACAUUAGGUUGUUCCAUAGGAGGAGUUGCUGGUUGAGAAUCUUCAUAAUCAAUGAUAACAUCAAUGCUCCCUGAAUCAGAUUCAUCAUCGCUACCCAUUUUUUAGAAGUCGAGACAGGAGUGGGAAUUGGCCAAACUUGAUGUUUUUUAUGGUUUUUUUGUUGGAAGUUGGAAAGCAAUAAACUUAAACUAAAGUGAAGAAAAAUUCAAUGAA